rnacentral:lncRNA from 1 species
GAGUUAUAAGAACGCCAUUCAAAAUGCAAUACCAAAUGCUGAAAAAUGAGAAUGAUUCAUUCUCGCGAAAUACAAAAAACAGUGAGCAAACGCAUUUUACACGAUUUUGUUUCUGGAAAACGGAAAACGCCAAAACAAAACCAGUACCAAACCCACCUUGUUUAAAAUCCUAAAAUUUUGUCGCCAAGGACUGCUUACUUUGGAACACGGCGCGGUCCCAGAACUGCCGUCGUUUUGGUGGUCUGAAGUGUGAAGAUAAACACGACGACCUUUUUCGUGAAUCCCCGAGGCACCAUAAAACGAAUCAGCUGAGGCGUUCUUGUUGUUCCCCUUUUCAGUAAGGAGCACGAGCUGGUGAGUGAAUUCUUUCAACUGAACGAAAUUCAAUUGCAUUAGUAUUAUCUGUAAGUUUUCGUUUUCGAAGAUGUAUGGAUUAUUCUAUAGAAAUAAUGGAAGGCUAUCACUAGCACAAGUGUUAUCAAAUAGUAAUGGGUCUAUUGCGCAAGAUUUAGCCACCUCUUAUUUGGAUUUGUUUUCUGGUUUGGGUUUGAAAGUUCAGAACGCAAGGUUGUUUAAUCCUUUUGGCGUUAAGUUAUUCUCAACUGAAGACGAACAAAUUAAAAGGAAAGUGCCAAAAGAAUGCUCAUUUACGGUGUCAUACCUCAUAAACUCAUGUGGGUUGUCCCCAAAAAUUGCAAAAUCUGUUGCUGAAAGAGUAAAGCUUCGAUCUUCGAAACAACCAGAUUCAGUCGUUCGAUUUUUGAAAAAUCGUGGAUUCAAUGGUUCCCAAAUUGCUAAACUUGUUAGGAUGCGCCCACAGUUACUUUUUGCCCAUCCCGAGAGGUCUCUCUUACCUAAAAUUGAGUUCUUGAACUCUAUUGGGGCCACAGACGCUGAACUUGCUGAUGUUUGCUCGUCAAUCCCAGCCAUUUUGGGUCAAAGCUUGGAGAAUGUACUCAUUCCCAAUUAUAAAUUCCUCAAAAGUGUGUUUUUCUCGGAUGAAAAUGUUAUUAAAGUUUUGAGGAAAAAAAGAACGUGGUUAUUUAGUUUUGAUUUGCAGAAGACUGUGUCUCCGAAACUUGCCUUCUUGAGAGACCUCGGAAUGCCCGAGGCCAGUCAUCAAAAUGGGUUUUAAUCCUCAAAAAUGUGAAUUUGUCCAUGCAAUGCAAGUAUUUUCUUCAAUUGGUCAAUCAACUCUGGAGUGCAAAUUGGAUGUCUUGAGGAGGUGGGGUUGGUCUGAUGAGGACGUUAGGUUGGCAUUUAGAAAGUGUCCCAUUUAUAUGAGUGCAUCUAAGACAAAAUUAGUCAGUGUAUUCAAUUUUUUGGUAAACAAGAUGGGUUGGCACCCUUCAGCUAUUGCCCAUGUUCCAAGUGCUUUUACGUAUAGUUUGGAGAGGAGGAUCAUCCCCCGUUGUUCAGUUAUAAGAAUUUUGCUUUCAAAGGGCUUGAUCAAUGAAGAAAAUAAAAUCUAUUUAUCUUCUCUGGUGAUAAAUUCUAACAAGCGCUUCUUGGAUACAUUCGUGGCCAAAUAUCAGGAUCAUGUGCCUCAAUUGUUGAAUAUCUUUCAUGGGAAAAUGACUAUUGGAGAACUAGGCUUAGAAUUUGAGCCAAAGUUUGUCAUGAAGAAUUGUAGCGCAUAAAUGUCAAUACUAUGAAUUCUUUUUACACUGUGCCCAAAGUUCUUCUUGGUUGUAGUUUUAGCAUAGUAGAUUCAUCACUUAUGCUUCUUUGGGUAUCCUUUUGUGCCUCAAGCUUCUUUCAUCGGAGGAAUGACAGUCAUCCAUUUUGCCUCACUCUUGGUGGACUUAAAAUGGUUUGUUUCACUCGUCUUUUCUAGGCUGGUAAUUGCUUAACUUGAUCUAGAUUUCUUCUUUUAUGAGAGAAUAAGCUUCUACAACCCUGUUUAUCCAUGCCUGAAUUUUGUUAUAGGAUGUUGCUCUUUGCCGCAACUCAAACAGAACUUGUACCUUUCAUCUUUAUCACUUUAUGAAUCAUGGGAAAUGUUUUGACGCUGACAGAUGAUACACUUUCAUGUUGUCUGUUAUGUUGGUAGUUGUUUCAUGAUCUUGUCUUUUUUUAUGGAGGAUUGAUUUUAAGAUAAACCGUUAGUGCAUGUUUGGGAGUUAGGAUUGAGUAUGAGAUUAGAUUAACUUUAAGAUUAAAUAUUUUAUCUCAUGUUUGGCUACUUUGAUUGGAUUGGAUUAGGAAGAAUUAAAUUUAAAUUUAGUCCUUAAAUCAUGGGAUUAACAAUCCUAAAUUCCUAAUUUACAAGUGGGUUUAGAAUAAGAGAAAAAAAUUUAUUCAUAUUUCUUUCAUAAAUAACACUAUUUUUUAUUUGUAACCUAAAAUUUAAUUACUUAAUUAAUUAUUUUAUUCAUGAUUUACUUGAAUUUAUUCUUUUAUAGUCUAAUUAAAUUGGUACUUUUACUCCAAUAAAAUUAACUAUUUAAUAAUUUGUUACAAUAAUUGAUUGUAUUAAAUUUAAUAAUCACCAAUGUAAUAUUAAAAAUAAUCAUGGAAAUUAAUAAUACAAGUAAAUAAUUGAUUUUAUAUAUACAUUAUUUGCUAACUUUUUGAUAAAAUAAAAUAUAUCUAAAAUAUCUGAUAAAUAUUAAUUAAAUAAUUAAAUAAUUUUAUUAAUUUUAUUAAUUUAUAUUUAUUUAUUAUAAUUAUGACUACCCAAUAACUAAUUUACUACAUAUUUAAUGCUCUUGUUAAUUACUUUUAAAUUAAUUUUAAUUAUUACUCUUAGAUAUUCAUAAAUAUUUUUUUGUAUUUAAAUAUGAUUUUACAUUGUCCAAUAUGAUAUUAUACCAAACAUAGUACAAUAUAUAAUAUAAUCAAACUUAAUCUAAUUCAAUAUGAUCAUGCGUGCCAAACGUAGCCUUAGGGGGCUGCUAGAUCACAACCUUUGGCUUUUUCGUACAGCCACAGAUCUAUAAUAUUUUUAGCCUUCUUGAAGAUUGGAAUAAAGAAGUAAAACUGCGAAUGGAUACAUAUAAUGCUGGAUAAUUUAGGAUUCCAAUUCAUUGGCUGGGGUACACAUACUAUUUAUUUUUAAUGCUUAUUUAGUAGAAUGUUGUUGCAUUUAUUUUGAACUUAGACCGAUGAUGAUUGUAGUUAUAAAAGUUGAGUGACAAAAUUCAAUCAUGGCAUUAUUCAUUAGAUUGUCCUAUCGGAAAACAAUUAGCAAAAUUAAUACAGCUUUUUUGUAUGUAGUUCUUUGCUGUUGAUACGUACUCGACCGAGAACUUGGGUGGGUUAGGCUGCCAGGUGGUGCAUCUGCGAACUUCUGUGGCUUAGACUGUUAAAGGGGGUGCGUCUGACCAGUCGGGACCCGAAAACGAAAUUAUAUGGGACCCAUAUAAUUUGCGGGUCCCAUGGCCUGCUAAACGGCCGGUCCAACGUGGUCGUCCGCCCCCACACAAGUUUCUCACUCUGAAAUACAUUGGAGUUUCUCAAAGCAGCAUAAGAUGUAAUAGUCUUUCAUCAAUGUGUUUUAUUUUAUUUAUUUUUUCCUUUGUCCAUCUAUCUGAAUAUCUGAAUGAGAAAGAAACAGUUUCUAAAUUUUGAUAGAUAUUUUGGAUCAAGUCAAAGUCCAGCCCAUCUUAGUUGUUCAGUAAUUAUUAUAAUUGGGUUUAAAUUGCGUCCCAUUCGCUGUUAUGUUUGCUCAAACCAGAUGGUGAACAAUCAAUUUUUUUUUUACUUAAAUAAGUUUUAAAAAAGAUAAGAGGGUGAGAAAAAACUUUAAAUUAAUUUUUUUGCCUCCCACCCUUUUAAAUAUUUGAACUCGGAUGAUCAGCCUAAGAAAAUUACUUAAAAACUACUUCAUGAAAAUUUUAGAAGCUGAUGGUAAACAAACGUACUUCAUAAUAUAUCUAUUAAUUACAAAAUUUUUCCAAAUUUUAUUAUACACCAUAUUACAUAAUGCCUGAAAAAAUAACAAUAAAUAAAUAGCGUGCUUCAUUUAUUUGUCAUUCAUUUCAUGACCAAGCCACUAUUCAGGGUGUCAUUUCCUUUCUAAUCAAAAGACAAUUCAAAACAAGGCGGUUGCUAUGUUACAGAAUCUGUAACAUACACACCCAAUGAGAGGAGCACACAUGUCUUGAGGGGAAGAGAAAAGCCACCAAACGAGUGUAUAUGGGAGUUGGCUAAAGCUGUUCGUUUUCUUGCUCAGAGCGGGCGGAUAUGCGCAAGUAGGAAGUUUCCUCAGCCUGAGAGUUCAAAGAAAUCAUGUCGCUUUGGGUUGCACAGGCUAUAGUAGAAAUUAUUCCUCUUUCGACCAACUUUUUUCAACCGGCUACAAACCGCUUCAAUCGAUAAAAUUAGAAUUAUAACAGUUACACGUGGUGUAAUGUUGUUGAUUUGUUUGUCAAUUUCUUUAAUGUUUGUUACAUUUUAUAUUGUAAGAUAACAAGACCCGUAAGUUAAUAGUGGGUGUAUUUAAUUCUUUUCUAUUUUGGUUUUAUUUUACUAAUAAAGGACUCAUGUAGCUUAUGGCGUCUUUGUUAUACAAGCAGGGAAAAAAAGUAAAUAACCAAAUGCAUGGUUAAAGAUUAAAUCAAUUUUUUUUUAAUCAUUCUCUUUAGGAUAUAAAUUCCAAUAAAAUAAAACUGUUUAAAAACCUCUCGACUAAGGCUCAAGGACUUAUUGCACAAGUAGCUUUAAUCUUAUUUUCUUUUAUGAGUUUGAAAGCAUAAGAUUGAUAUGAAGUUUCCAAUUUAUUGAUUGUCCCAAAUCAUUUAGAGCAAAGAAGGAUACGAUAAAGAAUGUCUAGUAUUACUGUAAGUGUAAUGAUCAAUUUUUUUUUCAAGGGUGAAAUGAUAUUUAUAUCUGAUAUUGUUUAAAAUUGAAAUAAAUUUGACAAGAAACUAUGAACAAUAGAUGAUGAAUCAGAUUUCAUGGAAUUAUAUAAAUAGUAAGGUCAGGGGUACCGUACAUCCGCCUUGGCCGUACAGCAGGUAUGUAAUAAAUUGGCCGAAUAAAUAUAAUUAUUUUAAAUAAUAUAUUUUUUAUAACUUUUUUUAAUAAAAUUAGAAUUUUGGACACUACCCCCAAUUUAUCAAGUGAUACCCAAGGCGACGGCCUGACCUCAUCCCUUGACUAGAUGUUACUUGGCCCACAUCGCGUAAGUUCUGUCCAAGUCCAGUUGCACGGAUAUUUUUGACACCCCUAAAUAAGGCUUUAAUGCAAUUAUCCAUAUUUAAUUUGGUCACUUUAUCAACUAGUAAUAAAAUUUCAGUACUUUUAUCAAAAGUACGGCCUUAUGUCCAAUGAACCCCAAUUACUAAAAUGAUCUCAAAUUUCAUCAAUGCAUUUUAUAAAAUGAACUAAAAAAAUUGAAACAAUUGAAUUUGAAUGCUUUCAAACUCAUUAACAAAAUAAUAUUGAAACAACUUGCGUAACAAAUAGGGUGCUAAGUGAGAUGAACCCUUUAUUAGUAAAAUUUUCUGUUUUCUGUGUAAAGAAAAUUUUACGAAUACAAUAAAAUUUAAAAGAGUAAUGAUAUAGCCAUAAACUUUUGUACAGACUAAUGUGGCAUGAUAAGAUUAGUUGAAUUAAAUAUCACUUGGCCCACAUGAUUUGUUUUUAUUAUUUUAUAUUUUCAUUCAACCAAUGAAUUAAUGCCACGUCAGUUUGUAUAAGAUAAGUUUGUAUAAGAGUUUGUGGUUGUAUCAUCACUCAAUUUAAAAAGAGAUUAAAAAGAAGAAAAAUAUGAUAUGAAUAUAAAUGGUAUGAGGGGCUUUCAUUUCCUUUCUAAUCAAAAGACAAUUCAAAACAAGGCGGUUGCUAUGUUACAGAAUCUGUAACAUACACACCCAAUGAGAGGAGCACACAUGUCUUGAGGGGAGAGAAAAGCCACCAAAUGAGUGUAUAUGGGAGUUGGCUAAAGCUGUUCGUUUUCUUGCUCAGAGCGGGCGGAUAUGCGCAAGUAGGAAGUUUCCUCAGCCUGAGAGUUCAAAGAAAUCAUAUCGCUUUGGGUUGCACAGGCUAUAGUAGAAAUUAUUCCUCUUUCGACCAACUUUUUUCAACCGGCUACAAACCGCUUCAAUCGAUAAAAUUAGAAUUAUAACAGUUACACGUGGUGUAAUGUUGUUGAUUUGUUUGUCAAUUUCUUUAAUGUUUGUUACAUUUUAUAUUGUAAGAUAACAAGACCCGUAAGUUAAUAGUGGGUGUAUUUAAUUCUUUUCUAUUUUGGUAUUAUUUUACUAAUAAAGGACUCAUGUAGCUUAUGGCGUCUUUGUUAUACAAGCAGGGAAAAAAAGUAAAUAACCAAAUGCAUGGUUACAGAUUAAAUCAAUUUUUUUUUAAUCAUUCUCUUUAGGAUAUAAAUUCCAAUAAAAUAAAACUGUUUAAAAACCUCUCGACUAAGGCUCAAGGACUUAUUGCACAAGUAGCUUUAAUCUUAUUUUCUUUUAUGAGUUUGAAAGCAUAAGAUUGAUAUGAAGUUUCCAAUUUAUUGAUUGUCCCAAAUCAUUUAGAGCAAAGAAGGAUACGAUAAAGAAUGUCUAGUAUUACUGUAAGUGUAAUGAUCAAUUUUUUUUUCAAGGGUGAAAUGAUAUUUAUAUCUGAUAUUGUUUAAAAUUGAAAUAAAUUUGACAAGAAACUAUGAACAAUAGAUGAUGAAUCAGAUUUCAUGGAAUUAUAUAAAUAGUAAGGUCAGGGAUGACAAAACCUGGGGUUGGGACCAAGAAUGGCAAAUCCCAGCUCCGACACGGACAUGUUUUUUGAACACCUAGGCUAGGCAUUUUGUUCGAGCUUCAAAAGCAUUGGAUUUUAUAUUUUAUAAUAUUAAGUAUGUAUAUGUUUAGAUUUAUAUAAUUUUUAAUUUUUAAUUUUUUUCAAUGAAAUUAGGCAUGAAAAUAUGAAUUUAAAUGUUCAAAAAUUUUAACGUAUGUAAUAGAUUGGCCGAAUAAAUAUAAUUAUUUUAAAUAAUAUAUUUUUUAUAAUUAUUUUAAAUAAAAUUAGAAUUUUGGACACUACCCCUAAUUUAUCAAGUGAUGCCCAAGGCUACGGCCUGACCUCAUCCGUUGACUAGAUGUUACUUGGCCCACAUCGCAUAAGUUCUGUCCAAGUCCAGUUGCACGGAUAUUUUUGACACCCCUAAAUAAGGCUUUAGUGCAAUUAUCCAUAUUUAAUUUGGUCACUUUAUCAACUAGUAAUAAAAUUUCAGUACUUUUAUCAAAAGUACGGCCUUAUGUCCAAUGAACCCCAAUUACUAAAAUGAUCUCAAAUUUCAUCAAUGCAUUUUAUAAAAUGAAAUAAAAAAAUUGAAACAAUUGAAUUUGAAUGCUUUCAAACUCAUUAACAAAAUAAUAUUGAAACAACUUGCGUAACAAAUAGGGUGCUAAGUGAGAUGAACCCUUUAUUAGUAAAAUUUUCUGUUUUCUGUGUAAAGAAAAUUUUACGAAUACAAUAAAAUUUAAAAGAGUAAUGAUAUAGCCACAAACUUUUGUACAAACUAAUGUGGCAUGAUAAGAUUAGUUGAAUUAAAUAUCACUUGGCCCACAUGAUUUGUUUUUAUUAUUUUAUAUUUUCAUUCAACCAAUGAAUUAAUGCCACGUCAGUUUGUACAAGAUAAGUUUGUACAAGAGUUUGUGGCUGUAUCAUCACUCAAUUUAAAAAGAGAUUAAAAAGAAGAAAAAUAUGAUAUGAAUAUAAAUGGUAUGAGACAAACACCGAUGCGCAAUUCCAAUAAGAAAACAAAACCAAAGGAGAUCGAGAUAAUUGAGUAAUGAAGUAACCUCAAUAAUGGUGACGCCAAUACCCUGAAAUUCCUUGUGGAUUUCAAGCUUGGAGGGUCUUGAAUUUUGUGUAACAGGUCGAGCAUAAACAAAAGUAUUGUGACCAGAAGAAACACUUGCUUUCACCAUAUACUUACCGAGGUAUCCAGUACCCCCAAAGAUAAGUUUCUUUGGUUUUGUGUUCUUACCUUUCAUUUCUUCCUUUCAUUUCAAUUUGUCUUUUCAUAUUCCCUUCCCUUUUUACACAUUUAUAUGUUGAAAAUGUGAGACUCGACAGUUCAUGCGGAUAUAAUUGCUGCAAACGAACGGAUAUAAUUGAAGAAACAAAUUUAUGAAUGCUAGAAAUAUCUAAGCAUCUAAUAAAUUUCUUUUAGACAGGUAGAAAUAUCUAGGCAAAAGUUGUUAAAAAUUAGCCACAACGAAAAAUGCUAAAUGUGUGGUCACCUAGUGUUUGUAAGGCCUAUAAAGACAUGGCCGUGUAUCCAAUUCAAGCAAUGAAGUUAAGAACAACAAAAUCUUCCACUAGUAAAAUCCUUUCCACUUCCCUUUAUCUUUGAUCAAAUAUUAUUGAUCAAAAAUAUUUUCUACUUUAAUUAUUUUAGCCCACUAUCUACCCCUGCUCCAACACCUGCCUUCUACUCCCUCAAUUUUUGGGAACCGAAUCUAAAAAUUUUUAUAUCAUUGAAUUUAAAGGGGGAAAGAUCAAAAUGGAAGAUCAGUAUGAUAAGUUUCUUUUGAAAAUGAAUUAUUUUUUCAAUAUUUCUUUGAUAAUGUAUCAUUCUCACUAUAAACUAUAUCGUGAUUAGUUAUGUUUUCUGCUUAUUAUUAUCAUUAUUUUAACAUCACAGCAUUUUUCUAUAGAGUAAAAAUAUAUAAAUGCUUAAAAAUAUGCAUGGAGUUCCAUGCAUGUUCUGUUAUUCUUUCUUUUGAUUUAUUGACACAAAACAAGGAUAAGACUAGUUUUGGAAAAUUAUCACUUUAUGAAUUAACUUCAUUUAAUAAGCAAAAUUAUCCUAUUGUGACAUCAUACCCAAACUGGGAUAAUUAGAUAGUUUUUAUUUCAUUUUCUUGAUUUUUUAAUUAUCUAAUAAUACUCAGACUGUGGGGUAUGGUACCCUUAGUUAAAUACUAACUUCAAACAGUUCACAUUCAAAUUAGUGAUACAUAUCUUACACAAGAAACAUAUUUGGUUAUGGUUAAAAAAUUAUAAAUGAUGAGGGUCUGCUUUGAAAUUUAACCAAAAAAAUUCACGUAUUGACCCACUAGAUUUACACUUUGGCCCAAUGGAAUAGAACAUCAUUCUGGUUCUGCUUGUAGUGAUUUUAUCCUUUUAUGACUUUAUAUAAAAGUAAAUAAUUUUAUUAAAAAAAUUAAAUAAAAAAUCAAAAUUCUUACUCUCAGAUAGCUUUACUAGUUCUUCCUCAGAAACGUGAACUCUUUUGAAACUCCAUCCAGUCUUUUGUUCCCAAAGGGAGAUCAAUUCAAGUUGUGAUAUAAUGCUUGCUUGCGGUCGAUAAAUCACAAUUCGAUUGCAUGUCCUUGGAUCAUUUAUCACUUUGAUUGUACAUUUAGCUAUAUCUUCCUCGUAAUUAAAGACAGCUGAUAUAGAUAAAUAGAUGAUAGAACAUCAAAAAGAUAUUCAAAAAAUGAACUUUUAGUGUAAAUUUUAUUUUAAUAUGCGUGGACUCCUGCAUUGGGAAAGUAUACGUACCUUUUGCUUCACCACUUCCAUAAACAACAACAUCAUCAUGUGAUUCAGAAGGACGAAGCAAGACAUUCACAAAGUAAGCACCACAGAGAUUUGCUGAGACAAAGGUGUAGGGAAUUUGAGCUGCUUCUAUUGCCCUUCUUACUAUUCUUUUUUUCUCCAAGCAAGCUUCAAAAGGGGGCAGAGGCCUCACCCUGUCCUCUUCACAUCCAAACUCAGAUGGAAGAAACCUCUAGCAACCAAAACAUAGUGUGUUUAAGAUUUGUUCUAUAUAAACAAAUUUGAAGCAAUGCAGCACUGAAUUGUAAAAAGACACUAAAAUGUUACGAAGACACAAAUACGAAAUUAAAGUUUGGGAUUUUAGGUAUUUUGCUAAUUAAGUAGCUCUCGUAUAUAUUUUUAUGUCUUUUAUAACUAACUACUAUUGCCUAGUUUAAAUCUACAUUUACAAAAUGCAAACGUCUACACUUAAAAGUUUCUAAUAUUUUUCAAUUAGCGCGAUUUAUUUUAUUUUUUAAAAAGAAAGAGCUUAAUCAAAUACCUUGAUGUUACCAGCAACUUUGAUGGCAUCAACAAUUUUCAGUUGAUCAAGAAACUGAGGAUAAGCUACAGUAGAUAUCACCACAUCUACUUCCUUAAGUAUAGAUACAAUUUUCUCGUGCUCGUCCAGCUCUCCCUGUUUUAAUUUCAACAGUAUUAUUACAAAUAAUAUCGAAGGGCUCCAAUUAGAUCAACACAAAAUUAAUCUCAUAAAAAGAAGUAUCAGAGGUUUGAGGUUCGAAUUUCGCGCGUGCAUUUAAAGGGGGAAAAAAAGAGGAAAAAAAAAAAGAAAAGAAACAAAACCAAAGGAGAUCGAGAUAAUUGAGUAAUGAAGUAACCUCAAUAAUGGUGACGCCAAUACCCUGAAAUUCCUUGUGGAUUUCAACCUUGGAGGUUCUUGAAUUUUGUGUAACAGGUCGAGCAUAAACAAAAGUUUUGUGACCAGAAGCAACACUUGCUUUCACCAUAUACUUACCGAGGUAUCCAGUACCCCCAAAGAUUAGUAUCUUUGGUUUUGUGUUCUCACCUUCCAUUUCUUCCUUUCACUUCAAUUUAUCUUUCAUCCUCCCUUCCCUUUUUACAUAUUUAUAUAUGAUAUCAGGAACUCACAUUUUUAGUGUUGAAAAUGUUAUACACACAGAAUCUGGUAAAUUUGUUUUCUUGAAAAAGUUGCUCCACCUAAACUAUUAUUUUUUAAUUUUCAUGAAUAAUCAAUAUUCUUAACCACAUAAAUUUUAUUGCCAUUAUUGUUCCCUGAAAAAAAAUUAUUUAAUUAUAAAUUUCAAUAGCUAAAUUUAUUAUUAAAAUAUUUGAAUUUUUUCAACCGCGAUAAAAAGAAGUCUAACCCGACCAACAAGUGCUAAAUUUUCUACAUGUUGAAAAUUUGACUUGAAUGUGGGAAAACAUUAAAGAAAAUAGGAUAAAAUAAUUGGAAUCAUAAUUCUCUCUUGAUCUGGUCUUGAUAUGAGUAAAUUCUAUUAAUACAAUUGGUGGUUAAUAAAUUAAAAAAAAAUUAAAUCUUAAUCCUACACUAAUACUAAAAUACAGGUGAUAUAAGAUCUAUAAAAGAUCAAGAGUAUUCAGAUUAAGGAUAUUAAUCCAAAUAAUUGCUCCGCAAAAGAGUGACAAUGAAAUUGCAAAAUUCUUUGACAAUUUUGUUCAUGCAAUUAAAUACCAAGUGGUGAGAGCAAAAACAAAUAAAAGGCCAAAGCCUUUUGGCUUUAGAAUUGAAAACGUGGGGCCUAUUUUGAAGAUUCUAUAAGUAAGCUUUUGGCUUUUGGACGAAGAGGAGAGGGAGCCGCCAAAGAGGAAGAAAAAAGGCAGACGCAAGGCAGAAAGGGAGAAGAAGAAUAGUGGCAGCAGUAGUAAUUUAAUUCUUCAUGACUGGUUUUAUUUAUUUUGUUGCUCUUUAUUCAAGUAUGUUUAGUUAAUUUAUUUAUAUUGAAAUUAAAGAUAAAAUCAUAUUUAAUAAAAUAAUUAUCUUUUUAUUUAAUUAAUUCCCUACACGUGUGUUUGAAUGUUUAUGAUUUUUGUUGAAAAUGUGAGACUCGACAGUUCAUGUAGGGGACUCAAUUUGUGGUGUUUCCGUGCAAUAAUGUUGUACGCUCUAGAUGUUAAAAUCAAUGGAGCUAUUUCAGCAGCUCAAAAUCCGAAAAUUGUCUCCUUAUUUCUGAGUGAUAAAUUGAUAACAUCUUUUAGUGUGAUAAAUUUAUAAUUUUUUACUUAGUAAUUUUAUCUCGGCGUCUUUGACUGUUUACACAUAAAUUGACAAAAUCAGCCAUGAUUCUUAUGUUUCUCCUUAUAAAUGGAUAAUUUAAAUUUGUGAUAAUAUAUAUUUUAUUUAUUUUUCUUUAAAUGAUAGAAUAGUAGACAAAGUUCAAAUUAAUUCCUUAUUUCCUUUAGUUUUAGGAUUCAAACUCGGAACCAACCAAAUAAUACUAUUUGAAAACUACUCUUUAGGCCGGCGACAAAUAAGUGAUAAUAAGUUUUUGGUUUAUAAACAAAAUGCCGACGUUUUCUAUGCGAAAUGAAUGGUGACUAUUGCUCUAUGCCACGAGCGAUUUUUGUGAGUAUUCAGAUUCUCACAUGAAUAUAUAAUACAAUGGUUGAUUGAUAAAAGGAUGACGGGUCUUUUGUGAGCUUUGUAGAUAUAUUUUUCUUCCAUUUGUACUAUUGAAAAAAAAGAAAAAAAGGGAUCCGAAUCUUCAAUUGAUUUUUUUAAUUGUUUUAAGGGGAAAUUAAAGCACUUACGUGGUUUUGUACAAUUUUUAUAAAUAUAUAUAGUUGUUUUAAAAAAUAGUGACAUCGUCUCUUCUUACGACAACUGUGUCUUUUAUUGUAGUGAUCGAAUUAUUUUUAUCUAGGCGUAUAUAUAAUCAUUUUGCUAAAUGAUGAAAUGUGACCAUUUUUUUCUCAUUUUUUUUCAUUUACAGUGCUGAUAUUUUCAUACCACAAUUUUUGUAAACCCUCCCCACUUCAAGAAAAUAAUUAUAAUAAAUUCACAUUAUUUUUAAGAAAACUCAAAUAAAGAAGAAGUUUGAGAAGUAAUUAAUUAAAUCUACCUUGAUUUGUUUUGUGACUUUAAUUUUUUUGUCAUAUUUGACUAAAAAGAUUGCUUUGUCAUAAUUUUGAAUUGAUUAUUUACGCUUAUAAGGUAAAAGUACCAAAAUACCAAAACAUUUACUUUAAGUUCAGAAUUUUUGAAUUUUAUACAAAAUUUAUAAUUUCUAAAAAAUGUAUCAAAACAAAUUUAUUAGAAUGAUUAUUAAGAUUUAGUUAAACUAACAAAAUAUUUUUAUGGCAUAAGACUCAUGUAAUUUAUUGGAUGUCAUGUUGUAAGUCACAAAACUAAAUACCUAGAUUGUUAGAUAUAGGAACAUUAUCACAUUAUCUUUGGAUAAUUUGGUCAUUUUAUGUAUCUUGGGUAAAACAUUGAAAUAAAAUUUAUCUUAAACCAACCUUAACAGCAAAUAUGGUUAAACAAACAUAAGUGAAAAAAAUACAUAAGAAUUAAUUGAUUAAUUGCCCAAUCUCUUUGUUUAACUCUAUUUUUUGAAAAUAAUGUGAGCUUAUUAUAACACUUCUAUCUCCCUCAAGAUUUACAUUCGGGUGACUAGCCAAAUAUAGAUGCUUGAAAACCAAAAGGCUUGGGGAAAUAAGAAAAUCUUUAUAUUUUCACUAUCUGUUUCAACAAAUUUAUACACAUGGAAUUUGGUAAAUUUGUUUUCUUGAAAAAGUUGUUUCACUUAAACCAUUAUUUUUUAAUUUUCAUCAAUAAUCAGUAUUGUUAACCACAUAAAUUUUAAUUCCAUUAUUGUUCCCUGAAAAAUAAUUGCUCGGUAAAAGCGUGAUAAUGAAAUAGCAAAAUUCUUUGACAAUUUUGUUCAUGCAAUUAAAUGCCAAAUGUUGAGGUUGGGGAUCAUUGAAGAAGUUGAAUGGUCUUUGGCCAUUAUGAAUGGUCGAUCCGCAAUUCAUUCAUGAUUUGUCAAUAAUUGCUCAUGGAAAUGGCGGAUAUUUCACCGGAUUUUGGACCGCGAGCUUAAGGCGGUCCGUCCUUACACGCCAUCUGUUGAAAAUUUCAAAAUUGAAAUUCAAAUACACAUGCAUGCAUUCAACUUUGAAGAGGUAAAUUUGAAGAUAAAUUCCUUGCAUGCAAAUUUCAAGCACACCAAUAUUGAGCUAGCGUGAUCCAAUUGCAUGUGCUAAUUAUGUUGAUCGGUGUUGACUUAUAUUGAUCGGCUUUUAUUUAUAUUAAAUUAUAUUUAAUAUUAAAUUAUAUUAAAUAGUUUAAGAUAUUAAAUUAUUUUAUAUUUUAUAUUAAAUAUAAAUCAUGAAUUGUUUUAGAACUUUUUGAAAUUAAAAAAGUUUGAUAUUAAUAUUAAAUUAUAUUUGAUUAUUAAUAUAGAUAAUUUAAUAUUUAAGGCAAAGGAUAAAUUUGUCCAAAAACAAUUACAAUUCAUUUCCCUAUUAAAUUUUAUGUCAAACCAAAUAAUAAAAUUUAAUUUCACUAUUCUCUUCCACUCCUCUCUUCUCCUUUCCCUUCCAUUCCACUCUUUUCCUCUCCUUCCCUUUCUUAAAACCAAACACCACCUUAUAGCUAUUAUCGUCGCAAGCAUAGCGGAACCCAAUCUCAUGCUCACGAUAGCACAACGUGGCUUACGGUGGCACCACGAUGUCCCCAGACUCAUAGACAAGCUUCGCAUAUCGACAGCCCGUACAGUAUAGCGGAUGCAUGUCUAAGCCUCACGAUUCCAUAACACAGCUAGGCUUAAGGCCAACUACUGGCUAUACUGACUACUUACUAUUGUUCUAGAGCGGGGAAAGUCUUCAAGAAUGCUGCUACCGAAUGAAGUUCGUCUUUCCCCCCUUUCCCUAUAAUAAAGUGCAGGCCCCCGUAGAUAGAUAUCCCAUAUAACCCCUCCUCACGUCGACUUUUUGCCGUUGAAUCCCGAAGAAAGAAUAAAAUAGACAAAAUUCCUAACAAAAAGAUAGUGAUGGUUCCUCUUUGAGGGCCCGAAGGGCAACGUACCUAAUAGAUAAAGGAUUUUUCAAACGGGAACUCAUCUUGUACCGUAACUUAAACAAUCAUCGUAGGAAGGGCCGGAAACUUGCGUUUUCUUAUGAUAGAUUGUACCAUGAUUAUCUUCUAUUUAUAUUCUCUAGUCUAUCUUUCUUCAAGUGAGAUAGUUGAGCCCGCCCCAAGCGGAACCACAUGAGUUCACCGGGGUUGAGCACGGUCCGCCAAAAUCGGCAUAGGUUAGGUGCUAUUGAUGGAACAUGGUAAGCCUAUCUUUCUUCUCCAUAUGGAAGUGCUGUGGGAUUAAAGGAGUUGGAAGAUGAGCAGGAGUAUUCUCAAUCGACACUCUUAAAAAAGAUAAUAGGUAAUAUGAUAAAGAAUAAGAACAACAAAAGCAAGUCUUUUGAGUAUAAUCCUGGUAUCUUUCUACAAUCGUCUUUGUGGCGCAGACCGAUCAAUCCCCGAAAUAAGAUCACUUAAAGGAAAGGAAUCGAAAUAAGACAGGUCUAUAUUCCUAUAGAAAGAAAAGCCCUUUCCCUCCCUGCACGAGUGAGUUGCCAAGUGCCUCCCAGGAGGGCAGUCUACCACAAGAUCUUACUCAUGAAUGUCAAGGAAGAAAAAAAAAGACAUGUAGGUUUGUAAACUAAAGCCAGAAGCCCGGGAAGAGGUGUUCUCCAUUAGUAGAAGUAAGCGGCUGAGUUAGCAAAGCCUACCCUACUAAUUUAUUGUAUAGUAGCGCCUUUUCCUUUUUGAAUAUAACUAAGGCUAGCCCGCUGGUAGUAGAAGGAAGCAGAGAUUCAGGCAGUUAGGCAUCAGUUUGAGUUCGAGAUCGAGACCCCAUAGAUAAGGUAGGUGUUAAUAGAUCAGUUCGGUCUAUGUGGCUGUCGAGUAAUCGUAGGUAAGUAGCAGCUAUCUCCGACUGAGCAGGUGUAUGGGGAAGAAAAGACAUAACCAAAAAAAUUGUGUAAAAUAAAUGAAUUUAUCCAGUUGAGGCAUGCUUGAUUGCGCAUUCCACUGACCUUUCCAUUACCGUGGGAAAGCCUCACUCUCGAUGAAACGGAUAACAAUCUGAAUAAGCGGUCGUCGUCCAGCGGUCGGUAGCUCUACUAAGCGAAUAACCGCUCGCUGCCUUUUCUUUGCGAAUAACAUGUGCGGGUAGCCCAGGAGAAGAGAAGCAAGCUACCUUCGCCUACCUCCCCGCCGCUCAUGACAAGCGAGCAGCAGACUAGGUUUCAUUAUUAUAUAGGACUUCUUUUGUGCUACCACACCUCUCUUGACCUCUCUUGCUUCUCGAGAAAGUACAAGGGUCGCCGAAGGUGAGGGAAGAGAUAUCCAAUUUGAUAUCUUAUGAUAUAUUGAGGAUGCUGCAGCAGUUUGGUUUCACUUCUAGAUAGUGUGAGUGGAUCAGGGCUUCCAAAACUUUUCUUUUUUCGGUAUGCCGCUCCGCGAGCAAGGAGUGCCACGCACGAGCGGAGCGAAAACAAAGCCGGUCAAAGAUUCCAUUGGAAAGGUAGAUGACAUUUCUGCUGUUUCGGUAAUGCCUGAACAGGGGUAGCCCAACCUUAGUCUAACUAAGUAUUCUAUCCAUACUAUGACACUGCGCAAAAGAACCAGGUAUAGUGUGAAAUGUGAUAAUAUAAAUAGGGGCGUGCCACAUUCUUGGUUUAAGUAUACUAGAACAUAUUCCAUUUUGUUGACGGUGAAUGCCUGUCGAGCCACUAGCGGAAAAAUAAUAAAAAAAGUUUCUAAAAAUAAAAAAUACUCAAAAAUAAUUGAUAAGGGGGGUUGAGCAUCCUUUGUAGAGAACUUUGCUGGCGCUACGCUAUCACGCUACAACUAGCAGCCCUUUUUUGCUAUUUUUAUCUAUUAUUAGUUAGGGCUUUUCCUUAACUAAUAGCGAGAGAGGGAGUGAAAGAGGCUGGAAAGUAUGAAGCAAGUUCUAUGCAAUUGAGCUCGACUGAAAGGAAGAUUUCUUACUUAGGCCCAGGAGAGGAGGGCUCUUAGGGAUUGGGGGAGACGAGUGGAUUAUAGAGCUAUGAGUGGAUCGAGGGUUUGUCCAUUGGGAUUGGUUUGAUAUGGUUUACGUGUUAUUGGUUCCCGGAAGAGUUAAUAUCUCCAUUAACUAAACCCUUUCUUACCCUAGGAUAGAUUCAUGAAAUGAGCAAGCAUCUAAUAUAUUUUACACCUUUUCCUAACGCCUAUGUGACUUUCCAAAGCCGUCGCUUCGUAUUUCUUGCUUAAAGCGCCGCAACUUAUACGCUUUAAAGCUGCGCUUUAAACUUGACGGCAUUUGAGCAUCCGUUUUCUUGCUCUUUGUCCUGGAGGCUCUCCGGCCGGAGAGAGGCUUGCUAUUGUAACCUUUACAAGCCAUGAUCUAAAAGUGAUUGCCCCCCAGGCGAGAAAGACUAAUCUUCAAAUUCCGCUUGAAAACGAGUCUCGUCCUUGCUUUUCUAAUAAGUUACUAUCCCCAACAGAAUUGGAACUCUAGUUGUUCAAGUUUCGUUCACCUCAUUUUCCUUCCAAUUAGUGAAAUUCUAUCUAUUUCUUUCUUGGGGAAUUGUGGUCGGCCCCGACUAGAUUACCUGGACCUGAAGAAAGACAUGCUUUCGCAAUGAAAUCUUUCUCCAGAUAAUGCCUUGAUUACAUAAAUAAUCUACUCCGCUACACCUACCCGUGGUAUAAGUGUGUUCAAACACACCACGCCAUUUUUUUCCUUUUGAGAGGGUACUUCGAGUAGUGGGUACCUUGUAGGACCUCAACCCGCCUACUUGGGUCUUGUAUGGAUAUGCAUGAAGAUCUUUAGCUAACCCCUACCUUCUCUAAAUACCCAGGUUCUGUGAUAUCAGAUCGCAAUUCUGAUUCUUUUGCCAUCACCUUCUAUUACUUGCUUGGUCGAGCAUCAAUCAACACCUGACGAUGAGGAGAGUGAUCAAUUCACCAUGUACCUGAUUCAAUACAACUAUCUAGCCCUAUUAUCGAAGCACUUCUUUAUAUAUGUCGCCAUUUGACGAUCUAUCUUUAGUAGGUCGUCUAUUCUUUCUUACCGAGAAUCGAGCGCAAGGCUUGAAGACCUUACCGCAUUCCGGCCCCAGGGUUCUCAAUUGGUCCAUUCUCUCUUCUCUUUUACCAGUGAGUGGUGAGUUACAUAUGUACCUUUAGUAGUCUGUUAUCUCAUACGCUACCCUAACUACCAUAUGUACUUUUCCUCUGCCAUCUAAUCAACCCAUUGAUUCAGCCUUGGAAGGUGGUGCGUACCAAUGGCGUUUGUUAAGUCUUUGAUGAAGUGGUUUUCUUGCCUUACGAAGCCCUUCAAACUAUACUUACACCUCAGCAGCCGUUAAUAGCAAACCUAAGCUGGUGGAUCCUUGCGCUUUAUGAAAGUAUGCUGUACUGGCCUUCCUUCCCCUAGCUGUCAGUGAGACUUAUUUUCUUUAUUUUCAAGGCUUCUCAGACUCUUGUGGAUUCGCCUCUUUCUUCCCUCGCUUGUGACCAGCUUCUCUUGUUGUUGUUCCUAGAAAAAAGUAGAAGUCAUGUGACAAGCAGUGCUUUUUCUCAGCGUGUUCGUUCGAGUCGUGGAAGCGAAGCAAGGCUCGUUAUAGUGGAAAUAUGGAAUCUUCUAGAAAAAAGUGGAACCCACGCGCCUUUUCGCUUGAAAGAGCUUUGAUCACUACUGGUUGUAAACAAACCACUGUCUUGCCUCUGCUUUCUAUCGAGGUCCGCUCUCCCCGCUCCAUUCAUGGCUUGCUGUUCCCCAAACUCUUUCUGGCAAAACCCUCCGAAUUUUUAGAGAAAAACCACGCUAAAUUUUUUCGAGAUUUUGAAACUUAUUGCACCUAACCUUUGGGCAUAUCAAAACAAGAAAAGGCACUACCUGCAGAAGAGAAAGGGAGAGGAAAAACAGUACGCAUGUCAGUCUAUUCUACAUCAAUAUUGUUCAAGCGAAAAUCAAAAUAGGAUGUCUAUAUGAUGAAUUUCUAAAUAAAAAAGAAAUAGUGAGUGAGAAAGAAGAUGUGAGUCCAAAAGGCAACAAUCAAACGCCCCUUUAUUAGUAAGGUUGCUUGCUUGUCACAUAGGUCGUCUUUGGCUCGUCUCCUUCCAUGAUACGUACCUGGUAGUAGUAGUAGCCCGGCCGUAAAUCCAACUUCAAGAAGUAAAAGAAAAUCAAGACAGAUGCCGAGAGAAACUAUUAGACUUCUUUAUUGCGUUGCGAAGAGAGAUCUACCGUUUAUCCACCAAUUUGCCCUGCUCUUUAUGAGCUAAGUGAUUGACACUAAAAAGUGUAUAGAAGAACUACUGGAACACAAUUGAGGAGAUCUAAUAAUAAAAAAAUAAAAAAUAAAAACAAAAAAAUAAAAAAUAAAAAAAGAACAAAAGGACAAAAGAGUAAAAGGCAACCAAAACAUUGGUUGCCUGUGAUGGUCAAAAGGCCAUCACGCCUCCUGGCCAUCACACUUCUCAACAUUUAUUUACGUGAUGGUCAGGAGGCCAUCACGCCUCCUGGCCAUCACGCUUCUCAACAUUUAUUUACAUUAUAAAAAAUAAAAUAAUAAUAUAAUAAUAAAUUAAAUAAGAAUCAAAAGAAUGAAGAUGAGGCAAUUGUUGCCUAUAAAAGCCGGAGUAUUGGGAAGCUGUAGGGGGAGAGCUAUUUUGAGAGCUUAAGCCUAGAGAGAAUAGAGUGCAGCUGAAGAAUUUCUUUCUUUCUUUCUUUUUUUCUUUUCUUUUCUUGUUUCCAUUUGUAUCAAUUUUCUUUGUAAUAUAUUUCAAAAAGUUUAUCAAAUAAAAAGAGUAUUGUGUUUUCUUUCAAUAUGAGUAGCUAAUUUUAUUAAGCUGAGGUGAAGGGUGAAGCUCAAUGUUUCAAACUAUUAAUUAUUAUUAUUUUCUCAAAUGAGUUUUUAAGUUUAUUUAAUUCUUUUCUAAUUAUUUUUAUAUCAUGUUAAUUUAUAAAUCUCACUGGAUUUUAUGCUAUUUUGACAUAAUGUCGACACAUUAAUAUAGUGUGGCACAUUAGGUACUUUAUUCUAUAUUUAUCCAUACAUAUAAAAUUAAAUGAUAUAAUAAUUAAUUGGUAAAAGUGAGACCAAAUAUAAAUGAGAGAGUAUUAAAAUUAUAGUUUAAAUACAGAGAGUGGAUCCUAAACCUUAGCUUAUUUUUAAAUUGAUUUCAAAUAAUUUCUUUUCCCCACAAUUAAUUUUCUUAGUUUUACUAAAUUUAAAACUCCCUGUGGUUCGACCCCAGUCUCACCGGGUUAUAUUAUAACUAGACACUCUUAUACUUGAGAGUAAUACACUUUUGAGUCGUGUCAGUAAUGAUGGACAAUUUUGUGCUGUAUGAGACAAGUUAGAACAAAGAGCACAAACCUCAUUAGCUACACUAGGAUGAUGAUUCAUUGAUUGGUUCAGAGCUAAGGCAUCUACUUUCCUAGAAGGAGUAGAUAGAGUGGCUUUCACAUCAAAAUCAUCUUCAACUUCAUAUAGACCAUUUCUAGAAACUUGAGGCGAUUUCUCUCUUUGAUGUGAAAAAUUCGACUGUUGAGAAUUCUCAGAAAGUGAAUUAAAGAAAUCCCAUGUAGCCCUUUUAUGUAGGUUAAAAAAUCUCUCACCAUUCAUAAACUCUAUCAUAUGACGAUUCGACAUGGUUAAACCGUUAUAAAAGCAUUGUAUAAGUCUCUAUUUCUCAAAACCAUGGUGGGGACACUUGAGGAGUAAAUCAUUAAAUCUUUCCCAAUACUCAUAAAAUUGCUCACCCUCUCUUUGAUAAAUAUCACGUAUCUCUCUCCUAAGGGCAUUUGUUUUAGACAUAGGAAAAAACUUGGUGAGGAACUUGUUACUUAAUUCAUCCUGCGUAGUAAUAGACCCAGCAGGAAGUGAAUUCAACCAAGCUUUCGCUUUGUCUUUUAAUGAGAAAGGGAACAUACGAAGCCUAAUUGACUCAUCAUUAAAAUUUUGAAAACGGAAUGUAGAGCAUAUGUCAAGAAAUUUAUUAAUGUGCAAAUAUGGAUCCUCUCUCUCUAACCUAUGGAAAGAUGGUAAAAGUUUAAUGACAGAGGGCGUAAGUUCAAAGUGUGUUGCUGUAGUUUGUGGCAACACAAUACAAGAUGGUUGGUUGGAUGCAAGUGGUGAAAAAUAUUCUCUAAGGGUUUUCUUUGCUUGCACUGGUGGAAGUAUUGGCAAUAGUCUAUUAGGGUCAUCUAUCACUUCUGAAGAACUAUCUCGACUACUAUCAAUUUUUAACUCUUUUUUUACCAAACGAUUUGUUAAAUCGUGUGCCCAAAUACUCAUAAACUAACUAGAUAAGGAAAGAAAAAAUAAAAUACAAUAAAAUAAAAUAAAAUAAACCAACAACAAUGAAAAUAAACGAAAUUUAAAAAUAAAAGAAAUCAAACAACCAAACAAUGAAUUUAAAGACAAAUAAAAAUAAAAAUUAAAAAUAAUAAAAAAAUUAAAUAAAAGACAACCUAAAUUAUAACUAGUGGAAGAAUCAAAUCAACCUAAAUUAAACUGACUUUCUAGCACAAUCCCCAGCAACAGUGCCAAAAACUUGUUGUGAAAAAUUUUAAUAUACUUGCAAGCGCACGAAUCUAGAAAUACAAUAGUGGUAACGAGGUCGAACCCACAUGGAUUGUUAUAAAUUAAAAAGUCUAAUUUAAAUCUAAAAUUAAUAUUAAUUCUAAUCUAAUUGAGCAAAUCGAAUUUUUAAGAGAAAUUAAACUAAUUAAACUAUGAAAACAAUUAAAGCAAAUGAGAAAUCAAUAAGACAAAAAUUAUCAAGGUUUCAGAAUCCACCACUAUUCAACUAGUAAUUAUCUAAUUAUUAAUUAAUCCCCAAUUUUAGAGUGACAACUCGAAAUCAAUCUAUGUCAUCUUAUAAAUAUAACAAUUAAGCCCAAUUAAAAUUAAUUUUGUGUAGGUUCUUUUUCUUCUUAAUAGUUUGAUAUCUAGAGAUGGCCAAUGGGCCGGGUGGCACAUGGCACAGCACGGGCACGACACGUGUCCGUACGGUAUGGCAUGACACGAGCACGUUUCGGUGGGGCACGAGGAACAGCACGGCACGCAUGUGGGCCAUGCCGAGCCUAGAAUUUUAGGCACGCGGGCCUUAAAGCACAGCACGAUUAGAGAUGAGCCAAAACACGACACGCGAAAAAGCACGUAAUAUGCACGGUUCAUUGGUGGGCUAGCACGCGGCCUGUGGGCCAUCAAUAGCACGUGGGCCAAAAUAUAUCUAAGUAAAUUUUUUUAAUAAAAAGUAAAUAUAAAAUGUUAUGAAAUUAAAGUAAAAUAUCUUGAAAUUAAAUGUUUUAAUAUAUUUUUGGGAUAUUAUCAUUUUCCCACUAAUUUUAUUUAUGAUAUUUAUUAAAUGAAUAAUGUUAUUUAUGAUAUUUAAUUUUAUUUAUGAUAUUUAUUUAAUUAUUUAUUUAUGUUUAUAAUUUAUUAAAUGAAUAAGUAAAUAACUAAAUAUCAUGAUUUUAAUAAAUAAAAUUAUAAAUAUCAUAAAUUUAUAAAUGAUAAAUAAAAAAUAAAAAUUUUAACAACAUUAAUAAUAAAAUAUUUUUCAUAUGAAAUAUUUUUCACAUUAAUGUUAAAUCAUAACUUAGUUAAUAUUUAAUAGAGAUAUGUUUCAUUUGUGAAUGAAUUAUUUUUCAUAUUUAUACACAAGAAAAAUUUAUGAACGAAAUAUUUUUAUGAUAAAUUAAAAAUUACAUUUUCAUUAAAUGAAGUUCAAGUACAAUUAUAAUUUUAGUAAUUCAAAUAAAAUUAGGUGUAAUUUGCAUCACUACAGUUAACAGUACAUCCCAGCUAGGUUGGCACCUACUGAACCAUCUAUCAUUUGCAAAUUUACAACCUUCUCACUAAUAAAAUUUGUUUCAAAAAGUUACAAGAAAAAAAAGUCUCUAGUCUUUGGAAGUGGCUUCAAUGUUCAGUACUCUGCAUAAUCUGGAUCCACUUCAUCUUGAUCAACAUCCAAACUCUCAAUUUGUUUAAUUAAAGCAUUUUGCCAAUCUUGUUGCACUCGACGUUCAACAUCUUCCCAAUCUUUCAAACACAACAAAGAGUCUAAUGUCUCUUAUGACAAUCGUGACCGACGUUCAUCUAGAAUUCUGCCACCUGUACUAAAAGUUGAUUCUGAUGCUACAGUUGAAGCUGGAGGGGUUAGUAGAUCACGGGCCAUAAUGGAUAGUAUAGGGAAAAAAGAUGUCUUACCCAUCCAAAAUUCUAAAAUAUCAAAAUUUUGCAAUUGUGAAGGAGUUGCUAAAUCUUCAAGAUUGACAUAACAAUAUCUUUGCAAUUCAUUACGAUUAGUAUCAAUACUAGAGGCAACACCCUUACCUUUGAGUAACAAAAGGUGAGCUGGAUUUUUAUAAGAAGUCGAUGCAUGUUGAACAUUAGAAUAUGUAUUGCUUGAUCCGAAUUUAUUUCGAAAAAAAUUAAAAAGUUCAUGAAUAGAGGACAUAAUUGUAUCAAAAUUUGUAUCAAGCCCGGUUUGUAAAUUUUCACUAAUACCCUCAACUAAAUGUUUUGCACCAACUUCCUUGAUUGUAGAUCCAACACUGCUGCAAAAAUAAAUAGGUGGGGAAUAUCUUUCCAAUAUUUUUUGAAUUUUUCCUCCAUGGCAUCACAAAUAUUUUUAAACAUAUUCUCUCUAAAAGUCUUAAAAGUAUAACUCAUAAUAUACAAGUGCAUUAACACUCUACAUGCAGUAGGCUCAUAAACAGUAGAACAUGCAAGAGUAGCAUCAUAAGAUACCUUUAAAAAAUCCAUAAAUUUAAAUGCAACAUUCCAAUCAUAAUCAGUGAUAUGAUCAUCUUCAUCAUUCAUUCUCUCAUUGUAAAAAUUAGAAAUUGCUUCAGAAUAGUUUUGGCAAGAAAGCAACAUCAAAUACGUAGAAUUCCAACGAACUUUCAUGUCAAUGUUGAAUUUUCUCCUUUUAGUAGGCUCAUAAACAGUAGAACAUGCAAGAGUAGCAUCAUAAGAUACCUUUAAAAAAUCCAUAAAUUUAAAUGCAACAUUCCAAUCAUAAUCAGUGAUAUGAUAAUCUUCAUCAUUCAUUCUCUCAUUGUAAAAACUAGAAAUUGCUUCAGAAUAGUUUUGGCAAGAAAGCAACAUCAAAUACGUAGAAUUCCAACGAACUUUCAUGUCAAUGUUGAAUUUUCUCCUUUUCAAUCCAAAAAUUUUUAACGUAGACAAAAAUUGUUAACGUCUUGAAGGUGCUCUAAUAUAUAAAAUGGCUGCUCUAAUUUUUUCUAAAUAAUGAUUUAUAUGAGUCAUACCAGCUUGAACAAUUAAAUUAAUAAUAUGACACACACAUCUCACAUGAAAAAAUUUUGAACCACGUGCAGGCGUGGGAGUAGAAAUUAAUCUCAUGUAUAGAGUGUGAAGUCACACAAAAAUAACCAAGCAUAUUAAUACCAGUCCAACAAUCAGAAGAAAUUGAAAUAACACCAUUAAAAUUGAUAAAAGUAUUAAUUAAAAGUUUUUUCAUGUCAUGAAAAAAUUUAGUUAAAUCACGUUUUAAUGUAUUUCUAGGCACUUUCUUAAGUUGAGGCUGAACAUACCUUUGCAGAAAAUUUAUUAGAUGUUCAUCUUCUGAAAAUGUUAAAGGUUGUUCUGCUGCAACAAUAUACCGAGCCAAUCCUUCUCGCAUGUUCUGUUGUGAAUAUCUGAAUGAUGUUUUUCCGGAAGGUCCAGAACCAUAUUGUGAGAGUUGGGUUUGUGUUGGGUCUUGUGGCGCGUGUUUUGUCUGACAAGUUUCCAUAUGUCAUCUAAGAUGUCCAGUUCCACCAUUGCUUUUGACACCUAAAGCGGAUUGACAAUAUUUGCACACUGCUUGAUCCACCAUUUCACCUUUUUUGUUUUGACGUUUUUCCAAAGUAAAACAUGACCAAACAAUUGAUGUUCUUUGUCGUUUGGAGGUAGUAGUAGGAUCAGCAGUCGAAGAAGUAGAACCACUUUGACUUACUUGAGAAGUAGGAGGCGAUCGUUUAGGUGAGACAAUAAAUAUGUUACUUGGAUCAAAUUCUGGUGCAGCAAUUUCUUCAUUUGCAACUUCCUCCCACUCUUCAACAAAAUUAAAAUUCUCAUCUAACUCGAAAUGAGAGUGAGACAUUUUAUAUAAUUAGCGUUUUGGUAAAUAAAGGCGGCUAGAAUGUAUUUGUGCGGGUGAAAAAAAAGAAAAAAAUUAUUGAGCAAGAGAAUGGAGAUUCGUGUGUUAAAUGGUGUUGAAUGAUGUUUUUCUUUUGUUUGAGAUUUCAGUAACAAAGGGAAAUUGCUGGAAUUGUAGCAAAGUUUCGAGAAGAUUGGGCAAGCAGAGACUAGAGAUGACUGAUGAGACAAGAGAGAUAACGAGGAGAUAGAGAUUGAGAAGUGAGAUAAGUUCAAAAAUAAUUUAAUCAUUUAAAUAGAAUAAAAAAGUAAAAAUAUUAACAGUCAAAAAGGGGUAAACACGCAAAGCUUCCUGCAAAGCUGCAACUACAAAGCUUCCUGCAAAGCUGCAACUACAAAGCUUCCUACAACUCUGCAAGGCUACAGCAAAAUAAAUUGUUGCAUUUAAUAAUUCAUUUGUCCGUUGGAAUUGUAAGGUGAGUAAUUGAUUUAAUUUAAAAUUUUUUUUGUUAUUAAAAAUAAGAAAUAGUUAAUUGUUGAGGGACCUGUCUAUGGUACCGAUUUUGUAACAAACAUCUCCCGUCAUCCCACCAUCCGAUUGUCUAUUGUUUAGUUUCUCACCCCACAUCCAACCACAUCCAACGGCUGAUGCUGCAGCCUGUAGCUCACAGAUUCUGUAAGCUAGUCAAGUCCAAUUGUUGAGUGCCCAUGCUGUGAAAUUGACUAGUCACCUAGUCAUAUCAACUUUAUUGUUUUUUUUAAAGACAUAUCAACUUUAUUGUUAAUUUAAUUAAUUCAGAAUUUUUUUUGUCCGUUGGGUGAGUAAUGAAAUUAAUUUAGAAUUUUUUUGUCAUUAAAAAUCAGAAAACAUUAAUUACUAAUCGGAGCCCAACUGCCCAUGCUGUACAAUUGAGUAGUCAUAUCAAUUUUAUUGUUAAUUCAAAAAUUUUUGUCCAUUGGGUGAGUAAUAAAAUUAAUUUAGAAUUUUUUUCAUUAUUUAAUAAUUAGAAAAAAUUAAUUUCUAAGUGCACCGUUGUUAUUUAUUUUUUAAAAUAAUUUUAGUAAUUAAUUUUUUUUUCAAAACAACAUAUUAAAUUAAAACAAAUUAUGGGUCAUUGUUACAAGAGAAUUAUGCAACUAUCACAAUGUUAAUAAAUCCUAUCACAAGUGUGUUGAUGAGAUAAUAUUAUAGUAGGAAUACGGGAGGAGCUUGCAUUCAUUAUGUAGAGUAUUUUAUUUCUUUGAAUUUAAAUUCUCAACUGUUGAUGAGAUAAUAUUAUAGUAGGUAUAGUGCAACUAUCACAAUGUUAAUAAAUCCUAUCACAAGUGUGUUGAUGAGAUAAUAUUAUAGUAGGAAUACGGGAGGAGCUUGCAUUCAUUAUGUAGAGUAUUUUAUUUCUUUGAAUUUAAAUUCUCAACUCAAAUUUUCAACACGGUAGUUGUCAUAUAGUGCACAUGCAGACGUGCAGAUUGCAGUGCAGCUGUGCAGUCAAUUCAAGUUUUAGGAUUUGAAAAUUGUGAAAGUUGCAACUUGCAAGCGUGUUGUAAAAUUGAGUAGUCAUGUCAAUUUUAUUGUUGCGUGACUGUAAAAUUUUAAAAUUAUGUGCAGUGUAAUCAAUUAAAAAUUUAAAAAAUUAUGAAAGUUAACCGACAAUGAUGUUUAAAUAAUAAAAAAUUGGGUUAAUUGUGCAUUUGUUUUAAUAUUUUCAUUUAUUUUUUAAAUAAUUUAAGAUCUUUUUCCUACAUGCCAACCAAGCACUUGCCUCAUGGCUCCACAAAAAUUAAGAUCUCAAGAUUUAUUCAUUCACAAAUAUUUAUAUUUCACUAAAUAUUUUUUUACUUACUCUUUUUACUCCCACCGACAAAGUAAAUAAAAUUAAUUUUUGUCUUUUUAUUACUAUCUAAUAUUAUAUAUACACGCCAUUAUGCUAUGAUGCUUCACAAUUCUUAUUCUUCUUCUUUUUCCUCUCAAACUUUCCAAUAUUUUAAAAGCCAAAAUCAUUAUGAAUCCACAACAACAUAAUAUGAAUGCAGAAGAACCUUAACACCCUCAAGAAUACAGUGUUGAUGUAGUUGGACCUCAACAAAAUGCUAGGCUAAAUCAGUCCAGAAGUCGUUCUUUAAAUGAGCUUUUUCAAAAUUUUACUACAAUAAGGGAGGAAAUAAUAGAUAAUAGUUUGCAUCAUCCUUACAAACGGAUGAUCUUGAGGUGCAACUAUUGUCAUCGAGAAGUUAUUUAUUCAGAUAGCCAUGGCACCUUGAGUUUACGUCGGCACGUGUCAAAUUGUUUAGCUCGCCACCUUAGCCGAGAUAGAAUUAACCUUGCUCGUUUCCCGUAUACAUAGUUGUGAUUAAUAAAUGUUUUUUUCGUGCUUGUUAUUCGUCAAUUGGUCGUAGUUCGCAUUUCGUAGUUGUAACUUGUAAGUUGUGACCUAUGAUUUGUUAUAUUGAUAUUUCGUAGUUAUGACUUAUUGUAAUUAUUAUUCGAGGAUUGUAUUUUUAAUUUUAAUUAAUUAUUAUUAUUAUCUAUGGAAUUAAAUUUAAUUAAAUUUAUGUAUUGUUGUGUUAUGAUUGAUUAUUGUGAAAUAAAAUAUAUAAUUGUGAAAUUGUGAUAAACUAAUAAUAAAAUGUUAAUUGCCUCUUAAUAAAAAUUAAUAUGAUUAUGAUUAUGAAUAUUAUUAUUAUUAUUAUUAUUAUGAUGUUGGUGGGCUUAAAAAAACACGCCAAGCACGUAGGCUUUUUUAGGCACGCUAAAAAAAAAAAAAGUUAGUGGGCUUUUUUUGGGCACGGCCCAUGGCACGGUACGAGCACGGCACGAGCCCGUGCUGGGCUCAACUGAAAAAAAUGUGGGCACGGCCUUGCUGGCCCACGAGCCCUUGUGGGCCGAUAGUUGCCGGCACGGCCCAUUGAACAUAUAAAGGGAAUUAAUUAAAUGAAAAAAUAAUUAUUUCAUUGAAUAGGGUUUCAUCCUUAACCUCAAUAUAAGAAAAUUAGUUGGAUAUACUUGAAUUAGGAGCAACAAAAGAAAUAAAAUCAGCCGUGGGAAGCCGAACUGCUGCAGCCAGUUUUCUCCCGAAUGGCGUCUGCUUUUUUUUUCCUUCCUCUGGCAGCUACUUUUCGUGUUCUCUUCUUUUUUCCUGGCGGCUAACCCCUAAUUCUUUUUAUACUGUAACGCCACCACAAAAUCCUCAAAUCAAAAGGAUUUUAAAAUAAGCCAAGCACAACCAACUUUAAGCCCAUGCAUGUGAAGCCCACUUGAAAUCAAUGGUCAAUGCUUUUCCAACUAUUCACGUGAGAUGCACACUUAGAAAGCCAAUUAUUCUCCUUUAAGCAUCCUUUUUCCUCUUUUCUUUUAUUCUUCACAAGCGGCAAUUAUUUCCAUAAACUCUAAUUUGUUUCCUUUUUAAACUCCCUUUCAUCAAUGGCUUCCACAAAUUGAUUUGUCCAAUUAUUAUUUCUUGUGCACUUUUCAUCCAUAAUCUCCAAUUAAUUCCCUAAUCAAUAAAAAAAAAUUAAUUAAAAAUAAUAAAUAAAAAUAACUAGCAAUUAUGUAAUUAAGGAUAAAAUAUGCAUAUAUUAUAUGCUCAUCAUUCCAUUUGGGUGUAUUGGGAUUGUGGGUUUUGUGAGUUUUUCCCACUUUUGUAAAUUCUCAUUAUUAGUAAAAUUAUCUUUCAGUUUUUGCCCGUGGACGUAGGCAUUACGCCGAACCACGUAAAUUAUUGUGUUCUAUUUUCUUUGCAUUUAUUUGUCACAUUUAUAUUUCUCCAAAAGUUACAGUCAUCGUAAUAUUGGUAAUUGUUCAACCUCGCAAUUCCGCAACACCAUCCUUACACUAUUAACAGAGAGAGAGAGAGAGAGAGAGAGAGAGAGAGAGAGAGAGAUAGUAAAGCAUCUCAAAAUGUAGAGAGCUUAAGAUUUAACUCUUUGAUAGAGAGUGCAGAGAAACAGAGUACUUACAAGUGAGUUCUUAAAAAGUUUGGGGAGUGUUCUCUUGAGUGUUCAGUUGAGAUCUAUAUUAUUUGUAGGGAUGUGAGAGAUUGUUUCCUUCAAGAGCGUUGAGAGUACUAAAUGUAUUUAAGUAUUUGGAAAAUAAGUUUUAAUUACUCAAAUUUAUACUCUAUUAAUUGUUAAUAAAAUAACUAUUCUCUCUUUGCCUCCUUGGAUGUUGGUAUCGUUGCCAAAUCAGGUUAAAGACAAGUGUUUUUAUCUUUUGUAAAUUAUCCAGUGCCUAUUGAUUGCACAUCUGCGCAUAAGUGGCAUUGAACUGCAACAAAUGACACUUUUGCACACAACACCACAUUGGAUACGUCACCGAGCAAGUUACCAGCAACUCGCAUCUUAUGAACCUAAUUUACAUGUGAAUAUAAAUGAGCGUGGCAUUGGCAUGUUACUAAAGAUAUUGUACAUAAAUCUACUAUUCUUAAUACCAACUAAAUAUUGGCCGUGUAUCAUUGUGCACAAAACUUUUAGGCAACAGCGAAGUCAGAUAACAGCGAAGUUAGAUAUUCAAUAUAGUUGGAGUUAUGUUCAAACAACAAUAUGAUUUAAAAAUUUUUAGUAAGUACUGAAAUUCUAAAUUGACUUCACUGAAAUAAUAUAAUUCAAUAAAUUCAUAAUCGUACUAAAUUAGUUUUCAUAAUCGUACUCAAUUAGCCAUAUACUUAUGGUAGCUCGAAGUUGUACAUGCUCUAAAACAUAGCGGCUACCUAAAACAAUUGUAUAAAAUUUUCGUUAUGAAAGAGACUCUAGGGUGCUGAUUUUUAUCAUCAACAAAUCCAAAAAAAAUGGCUAAUUGCCUUUUUUGACCAAACAAUAGAGAAAAAUUUGUAAACAGUCAAAUAAUAUUCUGUCAUAUGAGAGAGUAGAGGGUUAUAUUAAAUUAAAAAAUCAAUGGGACUCACUAAUGCUCCUAUCUUUGAACUCACUAUUCUACCACAAAACACCAAUAAAUUGCCUCAAUUAAAAUUUUCUCCAAACAAUGAUAGAGCAGAGAACCCCACUAAAUUAAAAUAAUUAGUAGGACCCACUAUUGGUGCCACUUUUGAACCACUGCUUUACUACAUGGCAAAACACUAGUGGUAUGUCUUACUUAAUUUUUUCUCCACAUUUAUACACUAAUAGGAAAAAUGACCUUCACUAAUGUUAAAAAAAAAAAUGAUUUGGAUCUAGCGCAGAACUGAGCUAUUCUCACCUCUUCAUAAUUGUUUUUAUACACGUGCAUGUAUAGAAUAUAUAGUUAGGAUUUAAGUAAUUUUAUAUUGUUAUCCAAAAACUACCAAACCCCCUAAAAAAAGAAGAAAAAUUGUGAUUGAAAACAUAAAGAGAUAGAGGAAUUAUUACCUAAUAGGAUUCAUAUCUUCUCAUAUUCUGGUAUCCAAUGUUUUAAAAAUCUAUAUGUGACAAUCAUCAAAAUGUAUGGUGAGGAUUUAUUUUCUCAUUAAAUAUAUUACAAGCCUCUUAAGAGAUGAACUAAUAAAAAACUCGCACUUUAUGAUUCCAUGGCUCCUAGUGGUUUUUUUCCCUCUCCAUCAAUAACUCAUCUUCUCCUCAACGAUUAAUCACUGCACACAAAAAAAGGAAAGAAAAAAUGAAGAAGGAAAGAGCAGGCAGCCAGUGCAAGAAGAAAAAUUAAAGAAGAAGAGCCUACGUUUGAGCGUGUACUUUAACAAGUACAAGUAUCCAAAGAGUUUAUUUUAAUUAAACCUAUGAAAGAAUAAAAUUCUCCUCUAUAGCAAUUUUAUUUUCAGAUGGCAGAUCGAAGGUCCAACUUUAGGAUGAUACAAACACCCAAGAACUAAUUUUAGCUGAGAGUAGCAGAUUAAUCAUACAUGAAGAGAAUUCUUAUGAUGUUGAAUCAAAUAUUGGCCAAGUAAUUAUUCACAUUCAAGAACCUAAUCAAACUACGACUUCCUACCUUCACAACUUCGGCAUUAUUUUUCUUUUGUUUUUAGAAAUUGCAAAGACUUGAUUUUGAAAGAGAUCAUAGCUGAUCAAAAGUAUUGUGCUCUGUAGAGUGAACUAGAGAACGUAAGAUUUUUGAGGGUUAGGGAAGAAAAAUAAGAGUUUAAGAGUUGUUAAAUAAAAUUCAAAUAAACAAAUCUUAGCCAUUCAUUUUGUUAAUAUCCACGUAUGAAGUAAAUCUUCAAAAAGUCAGAAAUUUCAUAUCAUCAGAGAAUUUGAAUCAGUUGGUUAUAUCUGUGAGCAAAAAUGGAUGAUUAAAUCCCCUAAGAACAUUUCCUAGAACACUAUUUCCAAUGGCAGCAUAAGCCAUGCAGGUUAAUAAAGAAAUGUAAAAUAAUGUUGUUCCACCAAUGACAUAUAAUGUCAUUUUCUUCAUCACUUCAUUUUGUGGUGGCUUUAAGGUAUCUUUCAAUUCACCAAGGAAGUAAUAGUAGUAUAUAAGUAUCAAUUGCUUAUUUAUUAAGAUGAUAUAUUGUCAUUUAUCUCCCUAACAUAUGGCCUUAAAGAAAAAUUUGAAUGCCGAAUAUACAAUAGAGAUGAGAUUUAGGAUAUUUUGUUCACCAAUAGACUGUUAUCAUUGAAUGUUCUCUAAAUUAUGAGUGUGAUAUAAACUUUGAAGUGGAUAGGUAUCACUACCGUAGAUUAUGAUGGACGAUGCCAUGGCUGGGCUUCUAAACUCAUGCCAAGCCGUUGGCAACAACGGGGGUGUGGUUGUAAAUGAACAAGAAAGUAAGGCAAGAUUGGCACGUAGGCUGCGGCGUGACAGCUAACGUAUGCUAUGAGACAAGUGUGGGGAGCGCCAGACAUUACACGCAGCCCACGCACGCCACAUCUUACAAGUGUGCAGGCGCAAAGCAUGCACACAAGCUGAGUUGGACAGAAUGCGAGAUUGCACAAGGUAGUAACGCUAAGGCAUGUAUGGGCAGCACAUAUGCUAGUAGGUAGUGGGCAUAAAAGUGUGCAAGGAAGCACGUAAAUGGGUAAUGUACAAUAGGGGUGGGCAUUCGGAUCGGGUUAACCCGAUCCAAAUCGAACCCGAAAUUUAUUUUGGGUUCGGUUUAGUUCUGGUUAACAUAUAAAAUCCGAACGGGUUGAAAAUUAUAACCUGAUCGGGUUUUAAAUUUGGUUCGGGUUGAACCCGAACCGAAUUUAAAAACUGAUCGGGUUGGACCUUAAAAAUUAAAUCUCUCUCUCACCAUUCACGCACGCCCAAUUCCAAUUUCAAGAUCCCUAAAGUAACUGCCUAAGCCUUCAAUAAUCCCCCUCUUCUCAUCUUCUUCCACAACAGCAGCACAACCCUCCUCCUAGCGCAGCCCACAGAUGUCCAGCCGACGCCCAUGCUGCGGCUCACUCACCUCACGACUAACUCACUCUCACUCCGCCGCCCGUUCGCUUUCGAUCCAGCUGUUGUCGCUUCUAUCUUUGCCAUCGCCUCCGACUGUUUCCAAUCCAUCUUUGCAACCAGUAGGUUACUUAUUAUUAUUUUACUAUUGUUAUUAAUUUAUUAUUAUUAUAAACAAUCGCCGUAUGUUCCUGGUUCAUGCUCUCGAUUGGUUUGUCAUGAAGCAAAAUGUAUUAAAUAUUAUUGAUUGAUGCAUGUCUUUCAUAGCAUAAAGUGGCUUAGAUUGGAGCUUUUCUGAAAAAAGUGAAAAAUUCAUUUAAUUAUUUAGUAUUCACGGAUAAGAAAUAGACUUCAUCUUUUUUCUAAUGCCACACGUCUGGUGAGCUUUGCCUGUGUGUUUUAGUUGGAUAAAAAUUGUUGCAAAUGUCACAUGGGAGGAGGGAAGCAUAAAAGGUUUAACUCGAAUGAACCCAAACUAUCAAACCGAACCAAUCCGAAUUGUGAACCCGAACCGAAUCGAAAUAAUUUUGGUUUGGUUCGGUUUGGGUUAGCAUUUUCAACCCGAUUGGGUUCAAUUCUUCAACCCGAACGAGUUGUAACCCAAACCGAAACCCGAACAAUCCGAACCGAAAUCUGAUUUGCCCACCCCUAAUGUGCAACACAUUACAUAGGGGCCAAACUACGCAAAGAUGAGAGGCAAGCAUUCGAAUUACACGUACAAGCUAUGUUCAAGCAAUGGCGGUCGAAUGUUAAGCAUGGUGGUUGGAGUUCUCUGAAAAUAGGUCCUAGAAACAAGCAUGAGUGGGCAGUUAUCGGUGCAACUUACAUGACAUGGCCUUAAAAUUCAUGCCUAGAAAUGUGUAGACAAGGGACGUAGGUAAUGGUGGUUACUCAUCACUUCUUUACUUCUAGGCUAUUGAGCAGUGAUUACCUUAUGAUUGGGGGAGUGAAGAUAUACUUCUUAAAAUCAUGCUUAGUGGUGCCUAGUCUUGAAGAAAAGAAAUAAGGUGGUGCAAGGGCAACAUGCCACGUCUCCUUAACAAAUGGGGGUGUUAUUUGCAACAUGUAUAUGUAGUGCAAAUGAGUGUGUGUUUUGAGGGAUUCGGAUUUUGGUAGAAUGAGUGGCCCUUGAGCAUCCAAAUCAUAGAGUUAUCUUAUAAUAUUUUCUUAUUGUGGCAGCAAAUAUUUGGGGGUUGAUACCUCUCUAAAGAAUAAUAUUGUGUGUCCUUGUUGUUUUGUUUUCUAUUCUUUGUUGUUAGUUUGACUAGUCUCUUGUGAUAAUCUCUGUUGUGGGUUCCUUUUAUUGGCAUUAUCGAGUAGUUGGCUAAAUCGAGACUUAACGCCAUCACGCGGGUUGCUACAUCUUCAGAGAAAACUCGGUGACAAUUGGUAUCUGGGUAAAGGUUGCUUUAAUUGUUGGAACAACUGGUAUUAGGGCAAAGGUUAUUUCAGUUGUUAGAACAAUUGCUAUAAGAUCAAAGGUUGUUUCAGUUGGUGGAACAAUUUGGUACCAAAGCAGCUGUUACAAAGUAAGAUUACAUUAAUGUUGGUGACAAAUGAUUUCAAGGCUUGGUUAAAAUCAUUUCGAGAAUAGCUCACUACGUGGUUUCAAGGCAUCUAUGGUGUAAGAUCUAAUUUGUGUAAUUUCGGGGGAAAUUGAUAAUAACGCAUAGAUUGUAUGACUAGCAGUGAAACCUAACAUGAUGAGAGAAUCACGAAAGGACAAGCUGUUGUGAUUGGAUGCUAUCAUAGGUAUUUUACAGCCUUACUUGGAGAGUUCGACAUAAAACAUGACAAUCAACUUAAUAGAGAUAGAAAGUGUGAAUAAAAAACUUGCUCUGAGUUUGUAAAUGAUUUUAUAGAGAAGAGAGAUGAUGCUCGUAGGCGAACGUGCUGAAAAGAAAUAAUGCUCGUAGGCAUUGCUUCACGUUCAAACGAUGGGCCUUUAAAGGUCAAGGUUUUAGAAUCUAAGGCUUAUAGUAGAACUCAAAACACUAAGAAGUUGGAGAAUUUUUAGUAAGACGUACAACAUCAUUUUUUAGCUAUUCGAGUACCAUAGACAAAGCAUGUCACUAUCACAAGCAUAUACUUAGAGGGUGAUACUAAGUUGUGGCAACGGGGUAGGCUUUAACAGGAUACUGAAGCACACAUCGAUUGGCAAUUGAAAAAUAGGACACACUUAAAGGAGAAGUAAAGGGCCAGUUUUUAUGCAGGAAUGGUAUUUGGCUUAGAGGGAAGAGCUUGAAAAAGCUAAAGCACAUCGGCUCAGUGAGAGAUUACGUUAAAGAGUUUAUUUCAUUGAUGUUGGACAUCAAGAACAUAUAAAGUGAGGGCAAGCUCUUCAAUUUUAUAUUAGUAUACACUAAUGGGCUUAAAUGAAAUUACAGAAGUAGGUUGUAAGGUACUUACCAUCGGCAAUUCCAACUGCUGAUAGCUUGGUGCAUUUUAGACCCAUGAAUAUUUAUCCUUUCGAAUAUAAGAAAUCAAAAGAUAGCAAGAAAGGCAACACUUCGUGUGAUAGUGGGAUGGAAAAUGGCAACCACAUCAAAGCCAAGUAAAGGAACUGCAAGACAAAAAGGAUUCAGGGUACUUCAUUUGCGACUGACCACAUCAGACAAAAGAUUAUCUAAAGCCUGAGAUGCUUAAUGCUUUGGUUAAGGAAACAGAAGGGGAUUCUUUGAAACUUUCAGCUGCCAAAUUAGACGCAACGCGCAUAAAUCCAUUACGACUAUUAAACAACAUGGAUGUCGAGGUGAAGGAGGUACUCGUAAAUGAAGAGAAGCUAAAAAGUGUCUUGAUGGGUAAAUCCUAAUUAGGUAGACUGAUUUGUAUAGUAAUGAUGGUUAACAGAGUAGAAAUAAGGGCAAUAAUAGACAUGGGGUGGAAUGGUGAAACAUGUAAAGGCGAAUUUGACACCACGUCUUGGACUGCAAAUUGCUAGAGCUAACAUUGACGUGAGUUUUGCUUCUAAUAAUCAAGUAGUUCUAGAGGAUAUAGUAGUAGCCAACCUAAGUAUGGGAACUUGGGCGCUGGAUGCUAGGUUUGUGAUUAUAUGAUCGACGAUAUUUGUUGUAAUUUUAGGAAUGGAGUUCUUAUACAAUUCAGAGGUACAUUUACUAUCUCACUUAUUAUGCAUUUAGAUUAGGAGCAUGAAAGAGUCGUGCACAAUCAAAUGUGAGUUUAAAAGUUUCAGUAGGUUGGGACCACCAUCCCAAACUACCAUAACUAGUGUAAAUUGAGGGAAUUUCAUGAUCAUGUCCAUAGUUAUGGAGCACCUUCAAUUUAAGAAGGGAAUUUAUGGGUAUACCAAGGUGUUCAAGAAUGUGGAAGACUUUCGGAAAAAGUAUCGGCUGUGGUAUACCAAUGUCAUUCGAGCUAAAAUGGCGGUAAAAGGGCAUAGAAGUGUGGCGAGCAUUUUAAGGCAGCAAGCAAAAAUUUAGUAAGAGUUUCAGUGAUGGCUAUUUGGUUCUUAUUGGUGCCUAUUAGAGGUAACGGCAUUGUUCCUCAUUUAUUAGUGUGAAAUUAGGUGGAGUGAGCGUCGAAUAUUUGACGAGAAAGUUCAGUAUGGUGACCUGAAGUGGAUAAAGACAUAUGUAGCCCUAGAAUCUAUGAAAACUUUUGAUGUUCUUAGCGAAAUCGAAACAAAAGUUGAGCUUUUUUGUGCAAUUUCCAAGAAAAGCAAGCGGGAGCUUUUACGAUUGACAGAUGAAGAAACUAUUAGUCUAAAAUCAUUUAAUGCAGUCCCUUGGUGAUGUUAUAGCAUCUCUGGAAUUCAAUCAAAGGAGCACAGACACACUAUGGACAUAAAGAAGCUUAAGUCUAGAACUGAUUUACUAUGGUCAUUUUGCAUUAUUGGGAUUGUGAUCUGAAGGUGGAAGAAUCCUUGCAAAUUUGAUAAAAGAGCUAAAGUUGUGUGCAUGAUUGUUUGCGGGAAGUGUUAGUAUGUGUCAUUACUUGAGGGCAAGUAAUGGUUUAAGUUUGGGGGUGUGAUAACUCUAGGAAAUGAGAGUUAUUGCAUCAAUUCUAGACUUGAAUCAAGAUAAUUUAGAGAACAAAUAAGGUGUUUUUAUUAUAUUUUGGUUACAUUUUGCAUAAACAUUCAUUUUAGUUGAGUCUUAAUAAGUUUUGCUUGAAUCAAAGUAAUUUGUGCUAAAAACAUGUGCAUAAUUGUAGGUUUUCAGAAAGUCUUAAUUCAUGAGGGGAUGUUGAGACAUUAGAUGAGCAAGAAGAGGAAAAAAGAUGGCCAUAAAAGAAGUAAAGCACAAUCGGGAAUAAUGCAGUGUUGUUACGGAUGUUAGAGCAACCAGUGCUGUAUCAAUCUGGGAGCAAUGCGGGAGAAAACUUAGGCGUGGGUCAGCCACAUAAUUGCAAUCUACUUGUUUCCUAAUUUAACGCAUGCACGCUCAUGGGCUUUUGUUUACCCUAAUUUGCAAUAUAAAAGGGAGGCGUGCACCACAUAGGAAGGCAGCAAGGGAAUUAUCAUUAGAAUAAUUACAAAGGAAAGAAGAAGAAGAUCAAAAUUGUAGUGUGCUGUUUCGGCAACAUUGAGGAAUCGUGCAGAAUUAUUUGGAUUUUUCUUUCACCGUGCUCAACUUAUAUUUAUCUUCUUCCUUUAAUUGUUUUGAUAUAUCCCGUGAUCAAUAUAUUUUUGUUUAUUUUUCUCAUUUAGAUUAUGAACUAAAUUUACUUGUAGUUGAGUGACAAACAAUCCAAUAUGUUCUUUACUGUUCUUAUAUGUUGUUAUGACAUUGUUGUAGCAUUUUACUCUAGUAGUUUUUAUGAAUAUAAUUGUUAUUUCGGUUGACCACCCAUUUAAUAGCUUCAGUUAAGAUAGAGCAGGAAAAUGACAUGUCUUAGCGGAUAUUAUUAGAGUAUUACUUGAUCUUAAGUUGAGUUUCCUGGAUUAAGUUAUCUUGAAUCCCAUAAGGGCAAUACUUGAAGUUAAGAUUUGUGACACACUAGACAUAGGUGUUCACCUUGUAGAGUGGAGAGACUAAAGGUUAUAAUGCCAUACCAUAAGUAUAUUAGCAUUUGGUCAUUGUUAAUAGAUUUAAGGGUAUGAGACUUCCAAUAUGCAUAGCUGAGGAUGCAGAUUUAUUCUGCCCAGUGCUGAAGUACUUGCUGUAACAACUGGUGCUAACUUGAUAAACAACAGUCACCCCAUAAGGAGAGUUUGAUCAUUCAAUUACUAUAAUCUCAAUUAAAACUUAGACACAUUUAACCUAGUUUAUUUCGUUACGGUAUUGUUUUAUUUAAUUCUCUCACAAUCAUAAAUUACGAUAGAAAUUACUUCACAAUUGUUUGCUUCGGUCUUAAGUUGUUUUGCACUAUUGCGAUUGCUUUAGCAUUUCGAGUAACAUCAAUCCCUGUGGAGACGAUCUUGAAUACUCAUCACUUUAUUACUUGUGUAUACUUGCACAUUGGCAUUGGUAAUAAUUGCUUAUAAAAUUAACCAACAAGUUUUUGGCGCCGUUGCCGAGGAUUGAUUGUUUAUUUUUGAAGUGUGAAGUAAAUUUUGAUAGCGCCAAAUUUGACUUGAUUCAUUCUAUUUAUUGGCAGAUCGGUACAUGCGUGCGCAAUGACAGAUAUGUGGCAUUCCAAUUCGAUCCUGAGAUUGAAAGGACUGUCAGGAGACUGCAAAGAGAACAAAGGAAUUCAAACACUGUUUCAAGCAUGAAUAAUUUACAGGAUGCGGGAAAUUUGAAUCCUCACGGGCCCUUACAACCAAUCAACAUUCAAGAAGAGCAAAAUGAACAUGCUAACGAGAGACAGGCAGGCAAUAACAAUAUUAUCUACAUGGCUGAUGACAAAGACAUAGCUAUAAAAGAUUAUGUUGUGUUAACCCCUCAAGUUGUACACCCUGGGAUCAUCAGACCUGAAGUAGAAGUUGCAAAUUUUGAGUUGAAGCCAGUGAUGUUUCAAAUGUUACAAACAGUUGGUCAAUUCAAUGGAUUGCCAAAUGAAGAUCCUCAUCUCUAUCUUAAAUUGUUCUUGGAAGUAAGUGAUACUUUCAAGAUUACUGGAGCAACACAAGAUGCCUUAAGGCUGAGGCUUUUUUCUUAUUCCUUAAGAGAUCGAGCAAGAGCAUGGUUAAAUUUGUUACCAUCUGAUUCCAUUACUAUAUGGAAUGAAUUGGCUGAUAAAUUCCUAAUGAAAUAUUUCCCACCGAAAAAAAAUGCAAAGUUGCAGAAUGAGAUUACUUUCUUCCAUCAACUUGAAAAUGAGAGUUUGUACGAGACUUGGGAAAGAUUCAAAGAAUUGCUCAGAAGGUGUCCUCAUCAUGGUAUUCCUUGUUGCAUUCAAUUGGAAACUUUCUACAAUGGGUUGAAUCCGAGUACGAGGUUAAUGGUGGAUGCUUCAGCAAAUGGAGCCCUGUUAUCCAAAUCUUACACUGAAGCUUAUGAAAUUCUGGACAGAAUUGCCAAUAAUAAUUAUUAAUGGCCUUCAGCUAGGCAACCAGCAGCAAGAGGACCAGCAUGGGUACAUAACAUAGAUGCAAUUACAGCCUUAUCAGCGCAAGUAACCUCAUUGACUAACAUGGUAAAGGCCAUGACAUCUGCUCCAACAACAGUAAAGCAAGUUGCUAAAAUUUCUUGUGUAUACUGUGGUGAAGAACAUGACUUUGAUAAUUGUCUUGGAAAUCCAGCUUCAGUAAACUAUGUGGGUAAUUUCAAUCGACAACCUCAGAACAACCCAUAUUCAAAUACUUACAACUCUGGCUGGAAACAACACCCAAAUUUCUCAUGGAGCAGUCAGAAUCGAAAUGCUCCAGCAUUAAAUGGACAAAAUAGAAACCUACAACCACCUGGUUUUCAUCAGCAGAGUCAAGGGCAAAAGCAUAUCAGUCAGGAUCCAAUCACUUCACUGGAAGUACUGAUUAAGGAGUACAUUGCAAAGAAUGAAGCAAUUGUGCAGAGUCAAGCUGUAUCCUUGAGAAACCUGGAGAACCAAAUGGGGCAACUAGCCACAACAAUGAGCAGCAAAACUCAAGAAAGCUUACCUAGCAACACAGAAGACCCUAAAAGAGAGAGCAAAGAACACUGCAAGGUAAUUAAUUUGAGAUCUGGAAAGAAUGUUGAUACCCCAGUUGAUGUGACAAAAAAUGAGAUGAAAUUCAAUUCAGCACAAAAACCACCUCAAAAUGGAAGCAUGUUACAACAAGCCCCCCACCAAGACACUGGUUACAUGAGCCAAGCUACAGCAACUGCAGAGGAAAUUCAACCAGAACAAGUUGAAAAAGAGGUUGCAACACCAGUAGCCACAGCCUACACCAAACCAAACAAACAGAGUUUGAUACCUCCUGAAGCUACCCAGCAGUUUAGACAUCCACCACCUUUCCCACAAAGGUUCCAGAAGCAAAACCAAGACAAACAGUUCAGUAAAUUCCUGGAAGUGCUGAAGCAAUUACACAUAAAUAUACCUUUUGUGGAAGCUUUGGAUCAAAUGUCAAAUUAUGUGAAAUUUCUAAAAGACAUCUUGGCACGAAAAAGAAGGCUGGGAGAGUUUGAAACUGUUGCUUUAACACAGGAAAGCAGUCAUCUGCUCCAAAGUAAGAUUCCUACAAAAGUGAAAGAUCUAGGGAGUUUUACAAUACCCUGCUCUAUAGGAACUAGGUAUGCUGGCAGAGCACUUUGUGACCUGGGAGCUAGUAUUAAUUUGAUGCCAUUGUUUGUAUUUAAGCAGCUGAGAGUAUGGGAAUGCAGACCAACAACAGUCUCUUUGCAACUAGCUGACAGAUCUCAUGCAUACACUGAAGGAAAAAUAGAGGAUGUACUGGUGAAGGUUGACAAAUUCAUCUUUCCAGUGGAAUUCAUUGUACUGGACUUUGAAGCUAAUAAAUAGGUAUCCAUUAUACUUGGAAGACAUUUUCUAACAACUGGAAAGACUCUGAUAGAUGUGUAGAAAUGAGAGCUCACCAUGAGAGUAAAUGAUCAGCAAGUCACAUUUAAUGUACUAGAGGCUAUGAGGAACCCUGAUGAAGUAGAAGAUUGCAAUUUCCUAAGUGUAGUGGAUUUUGUUGUAGCAGAAAAAAUGGACAGAUGCUGCAGUAAUGCACUCGAAAAAGUCACUACCUUUGAGGAUGUAGAAGAGGAAGAUGUUGCAGCAAUUCAGACAAAUUGGAUAGAUGAAAGCAAUUUGAUAGGCACAACAGGUUUAUUGAACACCUGAAUCUUUCAGACAGGGAAGUAAAAACAACUUUACCAUCUAUUGAAUCACCUCCUAAUCUUGAAUUAAAACUGUUACCUUCACAUUUGAAGUAUGCUUAUCUUAGUCAAAACAACAUACUCGUUAUAAUCAUUUUUUCUACUUUGGAUGCAGGUUAAAAACAUAGUUUAGUAGAUUUGCUUGGAAAAUAUAGAAGAGCAAUUGGAUGGACCAUGACAGAUAUAAAUGGGAUAAGCCCAUCAAUAUGCAUGCACAAAAUCCUGUUAGAAGAUUGCUCCAACAAUUCGGUGGAGCACCAGAGAAGGUUGAACCCUAUUAUGAAAGAAGUGGUGAAGAAGGAAAUCAUCAAAUGGUUGGAUGCUGGAAUCAUAUACCCAAUAUCAGACAGUUCAUGGGUGAGUCUAGUUCAAUGUGUUCCAAAGAAGGGAGGGAUAACAGUAAUAGCUAAUGAGAAGGAUGAACUUAUUCCUACAAGGACAGUGACUGGAUGGAGAGUAUGUAUGGAUUACAGGAAGCUCAACAAAGCCACAAGGAAAUACCAUUUCCCACUUCUAUUUAUACAUCAGAUGCUGGACAAACUUGCUGGAAAACAGUACUAUUGUUUCUUAGAUGGGUAUUCAGGCUACAACCAGAUUGCUAUAGCUCUAGAAGAUCAGGAGAAGACUACAUUUACUUGUCCUUAUGGAACAUUUGCCUUCAGAAGAAUGCCCUUUGGGUUAUGCAAUGCUCCAGUAACCUUUCAGAGAUGCAUGAUGUCUAUAUUUUCUGAUAUGGUAGAGCAGACUUUAGAAGUUUUUAUGGAUGACUUCUCAGUUUUUGGAGAAAUAUACAAUGAUUGUUUACACAACUUGGAAGAAGUCCUUAAAAGAUGUGAGAUGACCAACUUAGUACUCAAUUGGGAAAAAUGCCAUUUCAUGGUGCAAGGAGGAAUAAUGUUGGGUCACAAGGUAUCCAAGGAUGGCAUAGAGGUAGACAAAGCCAAGAUAGAGGUAAUAGAUAAACUGCCACCUCCAACUUCAGUAAAGGGUAUUAGGAGUUUUUUGGGUCAUGCUGGAUUCUACAGAAGAUUUAUUAAGGAUUUUUCCAAAGUAGCUAAACCACUAUGCUCAUUGCUGGAACAUGACGAACCUUUUCACUUUGACAAAGAUUGCCUUCAAGCAUUUGGAGAAUUAAAUAAAGCUCUGAUCACUGCUCCAGUAGUUAUAUCUCCAGACUGGACUUUACCAUUUGAACUUAUGUGUGAUGCUAGUGAUCAUUCUGUGGGAGCAGUAUUAGGGCAAAUAAAGGAUAAGGUUUUUCAUUCCAUAUACUAUGCAAGCAAAACUUUUACUCAAACUCAGAUCAAUUACACCACUACAGAGAAAGAGUUGCUAGCAGUAGUAUUUACUUUUGACAAAUUCAGAGCUUACUUGGUGGGUACUAAAGUGACUGUUUACACAGACCAUGCAGCCAUCAAAUACUUAAUUUCAAAGAAGGAUGCCAAACCAAGAUUAAUCAGAUGGAUCUUAUUGCUUCAAGAAUUUGAUCUGGAAAUUAAAGAUAGAAAGGAGACUGAGAAUCAAGUGGCAGACCACUUAUCACGGCUGGAAGCAGACACUAGUACCUUGACAAGGAGGGGCAUCACUAAAACAUUUCCUGAUGAACAGCUGUUGGCAAUACAGCAAGCAUAGAUGCUGCAGCAGUCAGGACCCCCAUGGUAUGCAGAUUUUGCUAACUACAUAGUAAGUGGGAUGCUACCAACUGAGCUGAAGUUUCAGGAGAAAAAGAAAUUUCUUCAUGAUGUCUUGGGAAAGAUUCAAAGAAUUGCUCAGAAGGUGUCCUCAUCAUGGUAUUCCUUGUUGCAUUCAAUUGGAAACUUUCUACAAUGGGUUGAAUCCGAGUACGAGGUUAAUGGUGGAUGCUUCAGCAAAUGGAGCCCUGUUAUCCAAAUCUUACACUGAAGCUUAUGAAAUUCUGGACAGAAUUGCCAAUAAUAAUUAUUAAUGGCCUUCAGCUAGGCAACCAGCAGCAAGAGGACCAGCAUGGGUACAUAACAUAGAUGCAAUUACAGCCUUAUCAGCGCAAGUAACCUCAUUGACUAACAUGGUAAAGGCCAUGACAUCUGCUCCAACAACAGUAAAGCAAGUUGCUAAAAUUUCUUGUGUAUACUGUGGUGAAGAACAUGACUUUGAUAAUUGUCUUGGAAAUCCAGCUUCAGUAAACUAUGUGGGUAAUUUCAAUCGACAACCUCAGAACAACCCAUAUUCAAAUACUUACAACUCUGGCUGGAAACAACACCCAAAUUUCUCAUGGAGCAGUCAGAAUCGAAAUGCUCCAGCAUUAAAUGGACAAAAUAGAAACCUACAACCACCUGGUUUUCAUCAGCAGAGUCAAGGGCAAAAGCAUAUCAGUCAGGAUCCAAUCACUUCACUGGAAGUACUGAUUAAGGAGUACAUUGCAAAGAAUGAAGCAAUUGUGCAGAGUCAAGCUGUAUCCUUGAGAAACCUGGAGAACCAAAUGGGGCAACUAGCCACAACAAUGAGCAGCAAAACUCAAGAAAGCUUACCUAGCAACACAGAAGACCCUAAAAGAGAGAGCAAAGAACACUGCAAGGUAAUUAAUUUGAGAUCUGGAAAGAAUGUUGAUACCCCAGUUGAUGUGACAAAAAAUGAGAUGAAAUUCAAUUCAGCACAAAAACCACCUCAAAAUGGAAGCAUGUUACAACAAGCCCCCCACCAAGACACUGGUUACAUGAGCCAAGCUACAGCAACUGCAGAGGAAAUUCAACCAGAACAAGUUGAAAAAGAGGUUGCAACACCAGUAGCCACAGCCUACACCAAACCAAACAAACAGAGUUUGAUACCUCCUGAAGCUACCCAGCAGUUUAGACAUCCACCACCUUUCCCACAAAGGUUCCAGAAGCAAAACCAAGACAAACAGUUCAGUAAAUUCCUGGAAGUGCUGAAGCAAUUACACAUAAAUAUACCUUUUGUGGAAGCUUUGGAUCAAAUGUCAAAUUAUGUGAAAUUUCUAAAAGACAUCUUGGCACGAAAAAGAAGGCUGGGAGAGUUUGAAACUGUUGCUUUAACACAGGAAAGCAGUCAUCUGCUCCAAAGUAAGAUUCCUACAAAAGUGAAAGAUCUAGGGAGUUUUACAAUACCCUGCUCUAUAGGAACUAGGUAUGCUGGCAGAGCACUUUGUGACCUGGGAGCUAGUAUUAAUUUGAUGCCAUUGUUUGUAUUUAAGCAGCUGAGAGUAUGGGAAUGCAGACCAACAACAGUCUCUUUGCAACUAGCUGACAGAUCUCAUGCAUACACUGAAGGAAAAAUAGAGGAUGUACUGGUGAAGGUUGACAAAUUCAUCUUUCCAGUGGAAUUCAUUGUACUGGACUUUGAAGCUAAUAAAUAGGUAUCCAUUAUACUUGGAAGACAUUUUCUAACAACUGGAAAGACUCUGAUAGAUGUGUAGAAAUGAGAGCUCACCAUGAGAGUAAAUGAUCAGCAAGUCACAUUUAAUGUACUAGAGGCUAUGAGGAACCCUGAUGAAGUAGAAGAUUGCAAUUUCCUAAGUGUAGUGGAUUUUGUUGUAGCAGAAAAAAUGGACAGAUGCUGCAGUAAUGCACUCGAAAAAGUCACUACCUUUGAGGAUGUAGAAGAGGAAGAUGUUGCAGCAAUUCAGACAAAUUGGAUAGAUGAAAGCAAUUUGAUAGGCACAACAGGUUUAUUGAACACCUGAAUCUUUCAGACAGGGAAGUAAAAACAACUUUACCAUCUAUUGAAUCACCUCCUAAUCUUGAAUUAAAACUGUUACCUUCACAUUUGAAGUAUGCUUAUCUUAGUCAAAACAACAUACUCGUUAUAAUCAUUUUUUCUACUUUGGAUGCAGGUUAAAAACAUAGUUUAGUAGAUUUGCUUGGAAAAUAUAGAAGAGCAAUUGGAUGGACCAUGACAGAUAUAAAUGGGAUAAGCCCAUCAAUAUGCAUGCACAAAAUCCUGUUAGAAGAUUGCUCCAACAAUUCGGUGGAGCACCAGAGAAGGUUGAACCCUAUUAUGAAAGAAGUGGUGAAGAAGGAAAUCAUCAAAUGGUUGGAUGCUGGAAUCAUAUACCCAAUAUCAGACAGUUCAUGGGUGAGUCUAGUUCAAUGUGUUCCAAAGAAGGGAGGGAUAACAGUAAUAGCUAAUGAGAAGGAUGAACUUAUUCCUACAAGGACAGUGACUGGAUGGAGAGUAUGUAUGGAUUACAGGAAGCUCAACAAAGCCACAAGGAAAUACCAUUUCCCACUUCUAUUUAUACAUCAGAUGCUGGACAAACUUGCUGGAAAACAGUACUAUUGUUUCUUAGAUGGGUAUUCAGGCUACAACCAGAUUGCUAUAGCUCUAGAAGAUCAGGAGAAGACUACAUUUACUUGUCCUUAUGGAACAUUUGCCUUCAGAAGAAUGCCCUUUGGGUUAUGCAAUGCUCCAGUAACCUUUCAGAGAUGCAUGAUGUCUAUAUUUUCUGAUAUGGUAGAGCAGACUUUAGAAGUUUUUAUGGAUGACUUCUCAGUUUUUGGAGAAAUAUACAAUGAUUGUUUACACAACUUGGAAGAAGUCCUUAAAAGAUGUGAGAUGACCAACUUAGUACUCAAUCGGGAAAAGUGUCAUUUCAUGGUGCAAGAAGGAAUAGUGUUGGGUCACAAGGUAUCCAAGAAUGGCAUUGAGGUAGACAAAGCCAAGAUAGAGGUAAUAAAUAAACUGCCACCUCCAACUUCAGUAAAGGGUAUUAGGAGUUUUUUGGGUCAUGCUGGAUUCUACAGAAGAUUUAUUAAGGAUUUUUCCAAAGUAGCUAAACCACUAUGCUCAUUGCUGGAACAUGACGAACCUUUUCACUUUGACAAAGAUUGCCUUCAAGCAUUUGGAGAAUUAAAUAAAGCUCUGAUCACUGCUCCAGUAGUUAUAUCUCCAGACUGGACUUUACCAUUUGAACUUAUGUGUGAUGCUAGUGAUCAUUCUGUGGGAGCAGUAUUAGGGCAAAUAAAGGAUAAGGUUUUUCAUUCCAUAUACUAUGCAAGCAAAACUUUUACUCAAACUCAGAUCAAUUACACCACUACAGAGAAAGAGUUGCUAGCAGUAGUAUUUACUUUUGACAAAUUCAGAGCUUACUUGGUGGGUACUAAAGUGACUGUUUACACAGACCAUGCAGCCAUCAAAUACUUAAUUUCAAAGAAGGAUGCCAAACCAAGAUUAAUCAGAUGGAUCUUAUUGCUUCAAGAAUUUGAUCUGGAAAUUAAAGAUAGAAAGGAGACUGAGAAUCAAGUGGCAGACCACUUAUCACGGCUGGAAGCAGACACUAGUACCUUGACAAGGAGGGGCAUCACUAAAACAUUUCCUGAUGAACAGCUGUUGGCAAUACAGCAAGCAUAGAUGCUGCAGCAGUCAGGACCCCCAUGGUAUGCAGAUUUUGCUAACUACAUAGUAAGUGGGAUGCUACCAACUGAGCUGAAGUUUCAGGAGAAAAAGAAAUUUCUUCAUGAUGUUAGAAGUUAUCAGUGGGAUAAUCCACAUUUAUAUAAGUUAUGCUCAGAUCAAGUAAUACGAAGAUGUGCUUCCGAAGGAGAAAUACACCACAUACUAGAGUCAUGUCAUGCUGCAGCAUAUGGAGGACAUUUUGGUGGUCAUAGAAUAACUGCUAAAGUUCUGCAAUCAGGUUACUACUGGCCUACUAUUUUUAAAGAUGCUUAUCAAUUUGUUAAAUGUUGUGACAGGUGCCAAAUGAUAGGGAACAUAACUAAAAGACAUGAAAUGCCAUUGACUAACAUUCUAGAAGUGGAAUUUUUUGAUGUCUGGGGAAUAGAUUUUAUGGGACCUUUCCCACCAUCCUUUGGGAACUUAUAUAUCCUUGUUGUUGUGGAUUAUGUCUCCAAGUGGGUAGAAGUUGCAGCAUUACCUACCAAUGAUGCUAAAAUAGUGGUGGCUUUUCUACAGAAAAAUAUUUUUUCCAGGUUUGGCACUCCUAGAGCAAUUAUUAGUGAUGAGGGUACACAUUUUUGCAACAAAGUCUUUGCUGUAGCUAUGAUGAAAUAUGGAGUCAGACACAAGGUAGCAGCAGCAUAUCACCCACAAUCUAAUGGUCAGGCUGAAGUGUCCAGCAGAGAAAUUAAAAAGAUCUUAGAAAAAGUGGUGAACCUAAUGAGGAAGGAUUGGUCUUUACACUUACAUGACUCUCUAUGGGCCUAUAGAACAGCAUACAAAACUCCACUCGGCAUGUCUCCUUAUCGAAUUGUUUAUGGAAAGGCUUGUCAUUUGCCACUAGAGCUAGAGCAUAAAGCACACUGGGCACUGAAGAAAUUAAAUUGGGACAUUCAUGCUGCAGCAGAGCAAAGGAAGCUUCAACUUUGUGAGCUUGAUGAAUUACAACUAUUUUCAUAUAAAAAUGCAAGAAUCUAUAAAGAGAGGACAAAACACUAGCACGACAAACAUAUUCAACACAGGCAAUUCAACCCUGGUCAAUUAGUGGUGCUACACAAUACAAGACUAAGAUUAUUUCCGGAAAAGCUCAAGUCACGAUGGUCCGGCCCGUUUAAGCUGUUAAAAUUUUAUCCUCAUGGAGCUGUUGAUCUUCUAGAUGAACAAACAGGUCAUGAAUUCAAAGUUAAUGGACACAGGGUUAAACAUUACAUACAUCUAGCGGCCGAUUGUUCAAAUGAGGUGUUACUCCUUAAAGAACCCAGCUAUUGAACAAUGAACGAAGGUCAGGCUGAAGGACCUUAAAUCAAGCGCUCCAUGGGAGGCAACCCAUUGUGGAGACAACCAUUUCAAACCAGCUUUGAUCUCCUUUGAAUGCAGAGGUGAGCCACGUGUCAGAGGCUUUAGUGUAGAGCAUGUAACCGUUGAUAGAGUAAGCGAAUGGGUGCUGCAGCAACCAAUUUUACCGUUACAGUAAAUUAAAACAUAGAGUCUCUCACUUGCCAUUGGAGAUAAAUCAUGACAGAUGGAGGGACAUUAGCCUCAAUUUGUUACUGCUACAACAAUGGGGAGGUAUAAGAAAACAGCCAGCCGCCUCAAAGAUCCUUCACGCUUCCAGAGUUACCACGCCGAAGAAAAAUACGAGGAAUUCAUAGAGCCGCGUAAGAUUCUAGAAGAAAAAGGGUUUCAAUUUCCAGAACAACUCAUUGGAAUUGUGCAAACAAUUCACAAUGCUGCAGCAAAGCAAGGAUGGUUAGAGUUUUGCAACCACCCUCGAAAUCCUGUGCUACCAGUAGUCAAAAAAUUUUACGCCAAUUUGGUAAGCCCUGAUCAGCACAACAUUUGGGUAAGAAACACACUUGUUCCAUUAGACUCCCGCGUUAUAAAUGCUUUUUAUAAUUUACCUGCUGAAAUUAAUUGUGACUAUGCCAAGUUGCUUGAUAAAUUGACCUCGAAAAAGUGGAACACCAUUUUCACAACUCUUACAAUCGAAGGAGCAUCAUGGGCUAACGAGGACAGGCAUAUAGUUAAUAGGAUAGAUUUGAAACCUAUUGCUAAGGUGUGGGUGAAAUUUCUGAAAUCUAGGCUUAUGCCCACCAAUCACACUACUACGGUUUCACAAAAGAGGUUGGUCUUGUUAUAUGUCAUUGUUCGAGGGCUUCCCAUAGAUGUGGGUAGCAUCAUCACAAAAUAAAUCCGGGAUUGUGCAAUUAAGUCUCACCGAACUGCUGUCUUGCUAUUUCCUUUACUCAUCACCAGCAUUUGUGUAGUUUUCGGUGUUCGUCUUGACGCACGAGAUGACCAUGUCAAGAACAAUGGUGCCUUUACGGCACGCACCAUUGAGAGAGUUGCUGGUGAGAGUGCUGGAACAACCACUGAACCAGCUGUUGUAACAGGCACAAGAUUAGCUAUUGGCUUAGAACAGACUAUCCAGGCCCUCAGCACCAGUAUAACUCAAUGUGCGGAAGCUCAGCAGAGGGAAAACGAUCGGUUUUGGAGUUAUUUACAGCACAUGGACAACCAACUACACCAAUUUGCUCUGUACAUGAAAUGCACUCACAGGAACUUCCCUGAUUCAUUGCUCUAGCAGUAUAAUUUUGACAGUAACACCACAGGUGCUCCAGCAGAAGCCAGCGAAGAAGCCACUGCCACAGAUGAGCCAGUAGAAGAAACUGCAGUUAAACCACAAGCAGAGGUAGAAUCAGAAGAUGCUGAACCAUCUGACUCACCUGAGGAAGAAGGUGACAAGUCUGAGACUGAUAGCUCACCCACAGAGGCAGACGACAACUCGGAGAAAGAACGUGAGGAACCUUCCAUCCUAACUCAGUCCAAAACCAGGAAAAAGCGCAUUAUUCAAGAAGAGGAAGAGGGAGACCUUGAAGAGGAACCGUCUAUUCCGGUCCUUGCGAGAAAGGGAAAGGGCAAGGGUAAAGCAAAAAUGGUAACACCUUCAGCUUCUGACGAUGAAAUAGAGCAAGUUGAUUCCUAGCUGGCUGCUGCAGCAACCAGAGUUAUGCCUACACCUGCAGAAGCCAAGCAACUACUUGCUAUCAUUGCUGCCAUCACAACUGAGGGCCAGGCAGCUGAUGCAUCAACUCCAAUUCUUCCACAACAAACUCCUAACCAACAAAAGUAAAGGCAGUACGUCUAAAGGCACUGCUACAAUAACCCCAGCCACAACUCCUCUCACCAGCCCCAUGAAGAAAAAGACAAAGACAUUGCCAGCUACUUCCCCACAAGCUUCACCAAAGGAUAAGCUGCGCAGUGCAACCAAGAAGCGCUGAUAGCAUCCCGUCAUGUGCUGCAGUCCCCACCAUAGGGGAGUAUUCUUUCCUUGCUAGUUCAUUUCAUUAAAAAAAAUGUUUUUUUUCCUUUUGUUUGUCAAUUUGUGUGGUAUUUUCUAAGGUCUUCCAUAUCCUUGUCAGUUUGUGUGCCCUUGUUAUGUAUGCUUGUGAGGACACAGCAGCUCUCAAGUUUGGGGGGGUCGUGUUUCCGAAUGCAUGUGUUUAUGUUUGUGUUGUGUGAAGCUAUGUUAUCUAAUAUUUGUGUAUGGAUUUGAAAACCUAAUGAAGAUAAAUUGAGUGUUAUUCAGUAUUUAUGAGAAUGCCAAGUAAAGAUAGUUAUAGAUGGAAAUGAAAUUUUGUCCCGACACUUAGACUUUGGUUGAAUUGUAUGAGACUGAUAAAGCAGAGCCAAAAGAAUAGAAAAGAGCUUAAGUUUGGGGGGAGAAGCAAGUUUGAUUGACUGUGAUAUCUAUUAAAUAAACUAUGUUCCAAUGGCUCAAGUUGCUGAGUAACCAGAUCUGAGUAUGUACCCCAUAAGCAGAAUUGUGUUCAAAGGUAGUGAGAGUUAGAAGCAAUGUUGUAGCAAAUAAAUAAAUAAAAAAAAAAAGAAAAAGAAAAAGAAGUCAUCUGUCCAAGGCAUUGAGUAGCCAGGUAUGUUCAUGAGCCAUAUGUUCAGCCUUGAGUAAAAGAUAUCUGUAGAUAAGAUUAUACUGUAAAUAUUGAUGCAGCAACUCUGAUCUGGGCAUGCUUUGAGUAAUUGGGUGUCCUCAUUACAAGUGAUUGACAUUCACAUGAAAGAUAAAUGUUAUAGUGAGGAGGUUGAUUACUCCCUAGUUUAUCAAUAUUAAAAUCAUCAUAGUUUGAGUAUGUGAAACUUGUGCUACCCCAUUUAUGAAUGAAGUGUUAUCACUAUUGAAAUUCAUGUAGUCCCUUGGUGAUGUUAUAGCAUCUCUGGAAUUCAAUCAAAGGAGCACACACACACUAUGGACAUAAAGAAGCUUAAGUUUAGAACUGAUUUACUAUGGUCAUUUUGCAUGAUUGGGAUUGUGAUCUGAAGAUGGAAGAAUCCUUGCAAAUUUGAUAAAAGAGCUAAAGUUCUGUGCAUGAUUGUUUGCGGGAAGUGUUAGUAUGUGUCAUUACUUGAGGGCAAGUAAUUGUUUAAGUUUAGGGGUGUGAUAACUCUAGGAAAUGAGAGUUAUUACAUCAAUUUUAGACUUGAAUCAAGAUCAUUUAGAGAACAAAUAAGGUGUUUUUAUUACAUUUUGGUUACAUUUUGCAUAAACAUUCAUUUUAGUUGAGUUUUAAUAAGUUUUGCUUGAAUCAAAAUAAUUUGUGCUAAAAACAGGUGCAUAAUUGUAGGUUUUCAGAAAGUCUUAAUUCAUGAGGGGAUGUUGCAACAUUAGAUGAGUAAGAGGGGGAAAGAAGAUGGCCACAAAAAAAGUAAAGCACAAUCGGGAAUAAUGCAGUGUUGUUGCGGAUGUUAGAGCAACCAGUGUUGUAGCAAUCUGGGAGCAAUGUGGGAGAAAACUUAGGUGUGGGUUAGCCACAGAAUCGCAAUCUGCUUGUUUCCUAAUUUAACGCAUGCACGCUCAUGGGCUUUUGUUUACCCUAAUUUGCAAUAUAAAAGGGAGGCGUGCACAACAUAGGAAGGCGGCAAAGAAAUUAUCAUUAGAAUAAUUACAAAGGAAAGAAGAAGAAGAUCAUAAUUGUAGUGUGCUGUUUCGGCAACAUUGAAGAAUCGUGCAGAAUUAUUUGGAUUUGUCUUUCACCGUGCUCAACUUAUAUUUAUCUUCUUCCUUUAAUUAUUUUGAUGUAUCCCGUGAUCAAUAUAUUUUUGUUUAUUUUUCUCAUUCAGAUUAUGAACUAAAUUUACUUGUAGUUGAGUGACAAACAAUCCAAUGUGUUCUUGACUGUUCUUAUAUGUUGUUAUGGCAUUGCUGUAGCAUUUUACUUUAGUAGUUUUUAUGAAUAUAACUGUUAUUUAGGUUGACCACCCAUUUAAUAGCUUCAGUUAAGAUACAACAGCAAAAUGACAUGUCUUAGUGGAUAUUAUUAGAGUAUUACUUUUUGAUCUUAAGUUGAGUUUCAUGUAUUAAGUUAUCUUGAAUCCCAUAAGGGCAAUACUUGAAGUUAAGAUUUGUGACACACUAGACAUAGGUGUUCACCUUGUAGGGUAGAGAGACUAAAGGUUAUAAUGUCAUACCAUAAGUAUAUUAGUAACUGGUCAUUGUUUUAUAGAUUUAAGGGUAUGAGACUUCCAAUAUGCGAUAGCUGAGGAUGCAGAUUUAUUCUGCCCAGUGCUGCAGUACUUGCUGUAACAACUGGUGCUAACUUGAUAAACAACAGUCACCCCAUAAGGAGAGUUUGAUCAUUCAACUAUUAUAAUCUCAAUUGAAACUUAAACACAUUUAACCUAGUUUAUUUCGUUACGGUAUUGUUUUAUUUAAUUCUCUCACAAUCAUUAAUUACAAUAGAAAUUACUUCACAAUUGUUUGCUUCGGUCUUAAGUUAUUUUGCACUAUUGAAAUUGUUUUAGCAUUUCAUGUAGCAUCAAUCCCUGUGGAGACGAUCUUGAAUACUCAUCACUUUAUUACUUGUUGUGUAUACUUGCACAUUGGCAUUUGUAGUAAUUGCUUAUAAAAUUAACCAACACAAGACUUAGCUUGUGGCCUUGUGCCAAGCCGCUGGCAGCAUUAUGGGCAUACUUGUAGGCAUGAAUGAAAGUAACACUAGACUAGACUGUGAACUAGAGCGCGACAUCAAGCACAUGCUCCAAGACAAGUGCGGGGAGUGCGAGGCAAUGCUCGCAAGGAUGUGUGCUACCAUCUAUAUAAAUGUAGGGGCAUGGGAUGUAUAGAGCACACCUAUAGGCUAAGCUGGGUAGAAUACAGGAUGGCGCAAUGCAGUUGUGCUCAGGCUAAAUAGGCAACGCGUACGUUGGUUGGCAGCAGGUGCAAAAGCGUCCAAGGCAUUACGUAAAUGAGCAACGUGCCACAUAUAGAUAUAUACAUGGGAGUCAAACUAUAUAAAUAUGAGAGACAUUUGGUUUAUACAUGUGGCCUAUAUUUGGGCAAUAGCAGUCGAACACUGAGCAUGUUGGCUAGAAAAUUUCCAAGAAUGAGUCUUAGAAACAAAAAUGAGUGAGAUUUUUUGUGCAACGAACAAAAGACAUGGCCUUCAAACUCAUGCCUAAAAACAUGUAGACAAGAGAAGUAGACAGUGGCGAUUACUCAUUAUUUCCUUGCUUCUAGUGUAGUGGGCAGCGGUUGCCUAAUCCUUAAAGGAAUAGAGAUGUGAUUCCUAGAAUCAUGCUUAAUAGUGCCUAGUCUGGGGGGGAGGAAAUGAGGUGGCAUAAGGACAACAAGCCACCUCACCUUGACAAAAAGUGGUGUCAUAUGUAACAUGUAUAUAUAGUGUGAGUGCGUGUGUGUUUUAGGAGAUCUAAAUUUUAGUAAAAUGAGUGGUCCCUAAGCACACAAAACUUAGAGCUAUUUCGUAAUUUUUCUUAUUAUGGGAAUUGAAAAGUUACGGAUCAGUGCCUCCAUAAAAAGCAAUAUUGUGUGUUCUUGUUAUUUUUAUUCUUUUUUUUAUUGUUAGUUUGGUUUAUCUCUUGUGAUAACCUCUAUUACGGGCCUUUUGGGUUGCUUUCAUUAACGUUGUUGAGUGAUUGGCUAAGUGGGGGCUUAGCACCAUCACACAAGUUGUAAUGUCUUCAAACAAAACCAAGUGACAACUAGUAUCAGAGGAAAUGUUGCUUCAGUUGUUAGAACAAUUAGUGUUAGAGUAAAGAUUGCAUUAGUUGUUUGGACAACUAAUAUCAGAGCAUAGGUUGUUCCAGUUGGUAGAACAAUUUGGUAUCAAAACAACAAUUACAAAGCAAGGUUGCAUCAAUGUUGGUGACAAAUGAUUUCAAGGCUCGAUUAAAAUCAGUUCAAGGAUAAUUGAUUGUGUGAUUUUAGGGAAGCUACGAUGCAUGAGCUAGAUUGUGUAAUUUAUAGGGAAAUUAACAAUGGUACAUGAAUUGUGUGACUAGCGACUAAAACCAGCAUGGCAGGAGAAUCAAUAAAGGAUGAGUUAGAUGAUUGGACGCUAUUGUGGGUACUUUGUAGCCUUACUUGUAGAGUUUGGCAAAGAACACAAAAAUCAACUCAAUGAAGAUGGCAAGUAUGCAAAAAACUUGCAAGGAGUUUGGAAAUGAUUUCAUGAAGACGCUGAACAAGGUGAUGAAAAAUGUUGUUCAUAAGCGAAGGUGCUGAAAAUCAAUAUUAUAGAACUUGAAGAGAAAGUUGGGUUACUGAAACGCGCAGUAGGCAAUGCUUCAGAUUCUAAAGAUGGGCCUUUGAAGGUCAAGGUUUCAGAACCUAAGGCUUAUAGUAGAACUCAAAACGCUAGGGAAUUGGAGAAUUUUCUAUGAGAUGUGGAUUAGUGCUUUCUAGCUGCUCGAGUAUCAGAGAUGGAGCAUGUCACUAUCACGAGCAUGCACUUAGAAGGUGAUGCUAAGUUGUGGUAGUGGAGUAGGCUUCAAGAGGAUGUCGAAGCACAUAGUGAUCGGUAAUCGAAACAUGGGACACAUUAAUGCAAGAAUCGAAGGGUCAAUUCUAAUGGGAAAUCCUGGCUGGAUGAAGAUAGAAAUCUUCAAAGAGCUGAAGCAUGCCAAAGAUUUUAUUUAAUUGAUGUUGGACAUCAAGAGCAUGUCAGAUGAGGACAAACUCUUCAAUUUUAUAUUGAGACUGCAACCAUGGCCUCAAUCCAAAUUGUGGAAGCAAGUUGUGAGGGACUUGUCGAUGGCAAUUAUAGCUAUUGAUGGUUUAGUGGAUUUUAGAUUCAUGAACACUUCUCCUUAUGAAUUUAAGAAAUCAAAAGAUUGCAAGAAAGAAAAUUCUUAGCAUGAUGGUGGGAACAAGAAUGGCAGCCAAAACAAAGUCAAGCCACGAAAUCUACAAGAAUAGAAGAGCUUGGGGUACCUCAUUUGCAAUGGACCACGUCAGGAAAGGAUUGUCCAAAGCAUGAGAAACUGAAUGAUUUCGUGAACAAAACAAAAGGAGAGUGUACAAAACCUUCAGUUGCUGAAGUAUGUGCAACACAAAAGAAUCUGUUACAAUUGUUGAACAACAUGGAUAUCCACUAAAGUAUUAUUGUUUCUUAGAAUAUGUUCAAAUUUUGCUUUAUAUCCUCUACCUAUUAUUACAAUUUGUUCUUACUGUAAAUGUGUCACUUUGUAUAUACAAAUGAAAUGAGUUUAAAGAAUUUAUUAUUCACAGAUUCUCUAAUUUUGUACCUGACUUUCUACUUUCUAUUUCUGUAAAUUUUCUACUAGUAUACGUUGUUAUUUCUUCUUUCUCUUUUGACCUAUCUUCAUUGGGCUUUUGUAUUAGUAUUCUUGUCCAUCCUAAACUACUUGCAUUAGUUUAUAUAAUUUUAUAAUUAUUGUUUAUAGGCAAUGCUAAUAGCUUGAGAUUCCUAACUAUUCCUUUAAGUUUUUGUAUUAAUUUUUUAUCUUCUCUGGUAAAACAUUUCUAUCCAUUUUUACUUAACUUAUUAUAUAAAGGUUUUAUUAAUGUAUUAAGAUUUGGUAUAAAUUUCCUACUACAAUUUAAUAAUCCUAAGAAUUUUUGUAGUUCUGUAAUAUCUUCUAUUUUAUUAGGAAAUUCUAAUAUUUUACUAACUAUAUGUGGUUGUAAUUCUAUAGUUCCUCUAUCUAUUGUUAGUCCAAUUUUUUUUGUUUUAAUAAUUCAAUUUUCUUUUUAGAAAUUACUAUAUUAUUAUUCUUAAAACAAUCUAAAUUUUUAUGUAGGUGAGUUAUGUGCAAGAACUUGUUAUGACUAAAAACAAGAAUAUCAUUCAUAUAAACUAUACAAAAUUUUGUAAAGGGUUUCAGUAUUUUAUCUAUUCUACCUUAAAAAACUUGUGGUGCAUUUUUUAAUCCAAACAACAUUACUAACAGUUCAAAGUGUCCUUUAGAACAACUAAAAGUUGUCCAUUGAACAUAUUCUUCAUGGAGUCAUAUUUGCCAAAAACCACUUUUACAAUCAAAUUUAGAAAAAUAUCUAGUAUUUUGUAUACAAUUUACUAGCUCAUCUUUAUUAGGUACUUUAUAACUAUUGUCUAAAGUAUUGUCGUUUAAUCUUUUAUAAUUAAUUACCAUUCUAUUCUUACCUCUUUUUUGUUCACUAUGAUUAUUUACAAUAAAUAUUGAACUUCUAUGUCUACUUGUAUUAUUUCUUAUUACUAUUAUUUCUAAUAAUUCAUUUAUAUGCCUUUUAAAUUCAUUUUGUAUCUUUAAGCUAUAAGCUAAAUUAUGUGUUUUUAUUGUUAUAUUUGGAUUAAUAAUUUAGAAUUUACAUACUUCUUUAUUAUCUUUUCUAAUUGUGUUGUUGCCUAUUAUUUUUAAUUUUUCUUACUCUUCUACUUUUUUUUAUUAUGUCUACAACCCAUUUUUCACAUUUUAAACAUUUUACUUCUUUUUCUAUACUGACUUUGCUAUAUUUUUAUUCUUCUAAUAAAAAAUCGAAGAAUUCUAUAUCUACUUCUUUUCCUAGCAUUAAAGUCUUCUUUUUCAUAUGACAAAAUGUGUGUUUCAUAUUUGGGUUGAAUAAAUUUUGAUUUUUUAAAGAAAUUAACUCCAUUUUGAGUUAUUUAUAUAUUACAAUUAUUUCCUAAUAUAAAGUUUAAUCCUAAAAUAAAUUUAUAUCAUACUUUCUGAUUAGAAAUAAAUGUUUGUGGUAAAAUGUGUGUUUCUCCAUUUAUUCUAAUAGGUAUAUUAGCUAUACAUUCUAUUAUUUGCAUUAAUUUAAACUGUCUAAUAUUUACUGAAUUUCUUAACUUAUUUCUAUUUUCUUUAGGUACUAAACUAUCAUGUAUAAUACAUUAAUUUCUAAAUCUAAUUCUAUUAUUGUUAGAAAUUAGUGUCCUAGAAACUUAUACAUCAUUCUUUGGUAUAAAUUCUACAAAUUGUAAUAACAAAUUUGAAUUAGGAUAUAGAGAUAUAAACACAAAUAAAUUCUUUUGUAAUAGUUGCAAAGAUAAAUACCAAGAUAAAAAAGCAAUAGAAAUAAAUAGAGUAGGAAGUGAAUUAAUAAAUAUAGAUGUAGAAUUAUUAUUUAAAAAAGAAACAAUUUACACUAAAGCAAUGAUAGACACGGGAGCAAAUAAAUGUAUUAUACAUGAUAGUUUAGUACCUAAAGAAAAUAGAAAUAAGUUAAGAAAUCCAAUGAAUAUUAGACAGUUUAAUGGUGAAUUAAUGCAAAUAACAGAAUGUAUAAAUAAUGUACCUAUUAGAAUAAAUGGAGAAACACACAUUUUACCACAAACAUUUAUUUCUAAUCAGAAAGUAUGAUAUAAAUUUAUUUUAGGAUUAAACUUUAUAUUAGGAAAUAAUUGUAAUAUAUAAAUAACUCAAAAUGGAGUUAAUUUCUUUAAAAAAUCAAAAUUUAUUCAACCCAAAUAUGAAACACACAUUUUGUCAUAUGAAAAAGAAGACUUUAAUGCUAGGAAAAGAAGUAGAUAUAGAAUUCUUUGAUUUUUUAUUAGAAGAAUAAAAAGAUAGCAAAGUAGAAAGUACUAAAGAGCUAGCAGACGAUAGUAAGUUAGAAUUAGAAAGUGACAUAUGCACAUGAAUAAUAAGUUAGAAAGUACUAAAGUAGAAAUUUUAUACGAUGAAGAGAUAGACAACGAUUUAGAAGAUGUUAUGAGUAUAGAAAAAGAAGUAGAAUGUUUAGAAUGUGAAAAAUGGCUUGCAGACAUUAGAAAAAAAGUAGAAGAGUUAGAAAAAUUAGAAAUAAUAGGCAAGAGUCUAAUUAGAAAUAUAAAAAGAACUAUAUAAAUUAGAGAUUAUUAAUCCAAAUAUAACAAUAAAAACACAGGAUUUAGCUUAUAACUUAGACAAUAGAAAUGAAUUUAAAAUGCGCAUAAAUGAAUUAUUAGAAUUAAAAGUAAUGAGAAAUAGUACAAGUAGACAUAGAAGUACAACAUUUAUUGUAAAUAAUUAUAACAAAAAAGAGGUAAGAGUAGAAUGGUAAUUAAUUAUAAAAGAUUAAACUAUUAUACUUUAGACAAUAGUUAUAAGAUACAUAAUAAAGAUGAGCUAGUAAACUGUAUACAAACGCUAAAUAUUCACAAGGACAUUUUGAAUGGUUAGUAAUGUCUUUUGGAUUAAAAAAUGCAACUCAAAUUUUUCAAGCAAGAACGGAUAAAAUAUUAAAACAUUUUUCAUAAUUUUGUAUAGUUUAUAUAGAUGAUUUUUUUUUUUAGUCAUAAUAAGUUCAUGCACGUAACUCACUCACAAAAAAUUUUAUAUUGUUUUAAGAAUAAUAAUAUAGUAAUUUCUAAAAAGAAAAUUGAAUUAUUAAAACAAAAAAUAGAUUUUUUAGGACUAGCAAUUGACAAAGGAACUAUGGAAUUACAUCCACAUAUAUUUAGUAAAAUGUUAGAAUUUUCUGAUAAAAUAGAAGAUACCGAAGAACUAUAAAAAUUCUUAGGAUUAUUAAAUUAUAGUUAGAAAUUUAUAUCAAACCUUAGUACACUAACAAGACCUUUAUAUAAUAAGUUAAGUAAAAAUGGAGAGAAAUAUUUUAACAGUGAAGAUAUAAAAUUAGUACAAACUCUUAAAGGAAUAGUUAGGAAUCUUAAGCCAUUAGCAUUAUCUAUAGACAGUUAUUAUAAAAUUAUACAAUCUGAUGCAAUUAGUUUAGAAUGGAUAGGAAUACUAAUACAAAAGCCCAAUAAAGAUAGCUCAAAAGAGAAAGAAGAAAUAACAAUGUAUGGUAGUGAAAAUUUUAUAGAAAUAGAAAGUAGAAAGUCAAGUACAUAAUUAAAAAUUCUAAGAAUAAUAAAUUUUUUAAUCUCAUUACAUUUGUAUAUACAAAAUGAUAUAUUUACAAUAAGAACAGAUUAUAAUAAUAUUAUAAAAUUUUAUAAAAAAGUACAAAAGAAUAAUUUUUGAGAAGAAAAAUUCUUUUAUUAGUAAAAGAUGGAAUUAUUUCUUAGAAGAAAUAACAGGUAGAGAAUAUAAAGCAAAAUUUGAACAUAUAGUAGGAAAAUAUAAUAUUUUAGAUGAUAUUCUUUCAAGACUAAUUAUUCAAUAAUUAUUUUAUAGGAAUGGAGUGAUAUAUGAAUUUCGGUCCAAUAGCACUUAGAGAGUUCCCUUCAUGAACAAAUUUAAGGUUUAGAAGUAAAUAUCAAUUAUUGGACAAUCAACAAUCCAUCUUAGAUAAUUCGUAGAAUUGUAAUAACCUAAAAGAUAAAUUUAAAGUAGCCAAUGCACUCUUGCAUUACUUUAGACAGAUUAAUAAGCAUGUAGAAACUAAUCGUUUUGCAUUUUUUGUAUUAGUCAGAGGUAGACAACUAGGCAUUUAUAGACAGUCGAGAGAGAUAGUUGAUCUAACAAUCAAUUAUCCUUAUCCAUACUAAGGAGGUUUUUAUAUAUUUCAUGAAGAAAUAGAAUUUGCUAGACAAAAGAUAGGACCAAAUACAAUGUUAGAUAUUUAAUUAACCUUUUAACAGUGCAUCAACAUCAUCAAACAUAUAAUUAAAUAAUUCUUUAGACAAUGCAUCAUCAUUAUCAUCAUCAUCUAUACAGUUUUGCAACCAUUGUGAAAUUAUGACAUACACAAUUAGAAAACUUAAUGAUACUAGACAUCAUCUAGACAGUGUAAAUGAAAAAUGUAAACAAAAAAUGAUUGCAUUAGAAAGUGAAGAUAAAGAGUUAAUUGGACAGAAUAUUAAAUUACCAAAUAAAUAUCAUAUUCUACUAUUAGAUCACCAAAAAACCCAAAAAUAAAAACAACUACUGAAACAAUUAUUUAAUCAUAUCCGAGCAGGAUAAAUUAAUAAAAAUCCACCAUAUUUCUUCCUUCCUUGGUGGCAACAUAGACAUUAUAAAAGAAAAAAUAGUAGAAAAUCUAUACCAAGACUUUGUUUCUUUAGCCAAUCAAUUAUUUUAUAGUCAGUUAAAUUUCUUAAUCUAAUUUGUACUUAGAUGGUCAGAAUUAAGGAAUAUUACCCCUCUUGGACAUGAUUUGUCUAUAAUUUCCUUUGAUUAUUCUUUAGCCAAAACCCUAGACAAUGAAGAUUUAUUAUUAAAGGUUAUCAGUUUUGGAAUGAUAUGCACUAUUUAUAUUUUCGGCUUAGAAAAAUUUAAAUUAUUUCCAUCAAUGUUAAAUAGAGCCGUAUCUAUUAUAAAACCUCACUUUUGAUAAUAAAUUUCCAUUUUUUACCACCAAGACCCCAAGUGAUUAAUAAAAUGAAAAUAGGUGUUAUAAUACUAGCAUAUCAUUUCAUUUUUAUAAGCGAAGGAGUCAAAAAGUUUAGAAGAAGAAUUUAUCAUGAUAAGCCCAACUUCUCUACAAAAGAUUUAUAUAGAAGAACACAUGACAUGUCAGUCUUUUAUGAAUGGGUGGACACUCAUGAUAAGAUCAUAGCCCAAGGAGAACAUUAUACUAUUAUAGCCAAAGAGCAUCUUGUUCGUGAGGAACAACUUAUUCCUUCGCUGCAAGUAAAAGUUGGCUAUCCAAAAAAAAUGUGAAGUAUACUUGGAGGCACUAAUCGGGAUUAAUGACAUGCCAUCAUCAAGAGAAGGAUCUGAAGCUAUGAGUCAUCAAUCUUUGAAUGAAAGCAUAGCUGAAGCUGUUGAUGAAAUGAUUGAUAGAUAAGCGACCCCACCAAAAAUAUUAGCUAGCAUUGGCCAGUUAGCAGUAGUUAAAAAGUCAAGUAAUCAGUCUUUAUCAUUGUCACGUUUUAUAGAUGCCCUUACUUUACUCAUUACCCGACAAGGAAAAAACUACGAAGGCAUCUUUGUUGCUUUGUCAUUUUAUUACCGACAGUGAAUUAGGUUAAAAAAAAAUAGUAGCCAGUCGCUGUUUGUCGACAGUGAGUCAUUACAAAAUUAUAGUAGCCAGUCAAUCCUUUUAUUGUUUACUUUUAGACAAUCUUUUGGCAAUUUGCCAAGAGUAAAGUAUACUAUCAAAAUCUUAUCUCUUGUACAUCGAGUCAAUAAUUGUAUCAAGUCUUCAAGUUGUAUAUCUAGACCUCUCAAGUUUAAAAAGAAGAUAGGUGAAGUCAUAGAAAAAAGGCAAUUCUGCACACACAAUCAAAAAAGCAAUAAACGUUUCUUUAUAAACACUUAGUAAUCUUUUAUACAUCAAUUAGCAAGCUCUUAUUAAGUAAGUAAAUUUUAUUUCUUUAAUUUUGCCUAUUUAUCUUUCGGGAUCAGAAGUCUUGCCUAAUUAAUGAACAUAUGAAUUAUAUUUAAAGCAUUAACAAAAGGUGGUCCUUGUUAUUAUUCAAUGGAAAAGAGUUUGGAAGAAAAGCUUUUGAAAAAUGGGUUUUGUUUUUGACAAAAAUAAUAAGUGCUUAGUAAAAGUUUCUGCUGAUUUUCUAAAAGCAUAUUUUUUAACACGGUCUCCAUUGGCCCGUUUAGCCAUUAAUGUGUUGAGAAGGCAUUUGUGGUCGUGAGUCGAGAGUUUGAAAGUGUUUUUAACCAGCAUGUUUUUAGAAUUAGUUUAAUAAACUUUGAAAAGGGAUCAAAAAGGCAACUACGUAGCUUGUGAUAUCGGUAGUACAGACUGAUAUAAUUCCCAAUUGAGUUAACUAUUAGAAUAUAUGUCGUUGAUUUCCUAUCUAUAUACUGUAAAUUCCCAAAAGUUUUAUGAAAGCUAAUAUUGUACAAAAUAAAUUUUGAAGUUUCAGUUGAGGCAGCGGCUCAAAAUAAAAUUGUUUUGCUUGAAUAUGCAUUUUGUAAAAUACAAAUGUUCACACUUUAGAAUUUGACAAUAUAACCUCAGCGGAUUCAAAAUGAUUGUUUAUUAGUGAGAGGGUUAAAUUGCAUAAGAACAAGAUACAAAAACUAAAGUUUUAUGGGUUUGUGAGUUUAUGGAGGCUAUUUUAAUAAAUUUAGUAGGGGCUAAAUUAAAAUAUUAGUAAAUUAAACCACCCACAUGAGUUAUUGUGGAAUUUUAUUUUUUUAAUUAAAGAGUGGGCUUUUAUAAUUUUUUAUGUCAAAGUUUAAAUUUUAUGGGCUUGUGAGUUUACAAGGGCUAUUUUUAUAAAUUUUAUAUAGUUGUUUUAAUAUAUUAACGGGACUAAUUAGAAACUCAAAUAAUAUCUUGAUUUUUAAAAUUUAUUUUCUCCAAUUGGAACUCAAACCCACUGGUCAUGAUUUGGAUCCGCUCCUAAACAAAACGUACUCUUUAACAUGUUUUGCAAUUAGUCGAAACUAAAUAUUUAUAAUUUUAGUAGCAAAAUAGAAUUUUUUUAUGAUUGGCCUCUAUAACUUUAACAACUUAAAUAAUUUUACGGACAAUAAUUAUUUACUUUUUAUGGACUUUAACCUCUAGAUAUUUAUCUCUAUUAUUUUUACACCUCUAAAUUUUAAAUUCUGGCUUCGCACGACAAUUCGAAGCAAUAUCUAAUGUGAGUUACUAUAAAUUAUGAAGAUGUGAGAAUUUUAUGAAAUGUAAAAUCAACAUAUAGAGACAGACUAUGCGUGUGACAAGUUAUACAUAAAAGUUUGUAAUUAGACAGUGCCAUUAGGUCUAAAUUGCAUUUUAUAAUAUGUGGAAUUCAAUCUUGGAGAAUAAAAUACCUUUUGUUGCACCACUUCCAUAAACAAUUCUUCGUCCUGUGAUUCGGAUUGACGAAGCAAGACAUUCACAAAGUAAGAACCAUAGAGAUUUGCUGAGACAAAGGUUAUAGGGAAUUUUAGCUGCCUCUACAGUUCUACUGCCCUACUUACCAUUCGUUUUUUCCUCCAAGUAAGCUUCAAAAGGAGGCAGCGGCCUUAUCCUGUCUCUUCACAUCCGAACUCAGAUGGAAGAAACCUCCAGCAGCCAAAACAUAGUAUGUUUAAGAUCUGUUCUAUAUAAACAAAUUUGAAGUAAUUCAGCACUGAAUUGUAAAAACACACUAAAAUGUUACAAAGACUCAAAAAUACUAAAUUAGAGUUUGUGAUUUUAGGCAUUUUGCUAAUUUACUAGCCCUCGUAUAUACUUUUACGUCAUUUUUAGAUAACUACAAUUGCCUAGCUUAAAUCUACAUUUACAAAGUGUGGACAUCCACACUUAAAAGUUCCUAAUGUUUUUCAUUUAGUAAACAAACUAUAUUUAAAUUUCCGAAAAAAAAAAAAAAAGAAGCGAUCUAUUUUAUUUUUCAGAAAGAAAGAGCUCAAUCAAGUACCUUGAUGUUGCCAGCAACUUUGAUGGCAUCAUCAAUUUUCAGUUGAUCACGAAACUGAGGAUAAGCUACAGUAGAUAUCACCACAGCUACUUCCUUAAAUAUAGAUACAAUUUUUCUCGUGCUCGUCUAGCUCUCCCUAUUUUAAUUUUUAAUUUCAACAGUAUUAUUGUUAAUACUUAAGCUUACAAAUAAUAUUGAAGAUUCUAAUUAGAUCAGCACAAAAUUAAUCUCAUAAAAAGAAGUAUAAGAGAUCAUUCCACGCGCACUAAAAAAAGAGAGAGAGAGAGAUCAAGAAAACAAAAGGAGAUCGAGAUGAUUGAGUGAUGAAGUUACCUCAAUAAUUGCGACACCAAUAUCCUGAAAUUCCUUACGGAUUUCAAGCUUGGAGGGACUUGAAUUUUUUUUUUUUUAACCGGUCGAGCAUAAGCUUUGUGACCAGAAAAUACACUUGCUUUCACCAUAUAUUUGCCGAAGUAUCCAGUACCCCCAAAGCUUUUGCGUUCUCACCUUCCAUUUCUUCCUUUUACUUCGAUUUGUCUUUAAUAUUCCCGUCUCUUGUUGCGUACAUUUAUAUAUAUGAUAGCACGAAAGAGCUCAUUGCAUUUUUGUCAUGAUAAUAAAAGAAAAAAAUUGGCAUUUUUGUUCUUUUUUUACUAGAAACGCAAUGGGUUGAACAUUUAUAAUUAGUAAAAGAAUAUGUGUGACUUCACAGUUUAUGGUGUUUUUCAUUGCAAUCAUGUUGAUGUUCAUAAUGUUAAAAUUAAUGGAGCUAUUUCAGCAUGUUGAAAAUCCGAAAAUUGCAUCCAUCAUGUAGUACUUGUGCCAUGUCAUUGAGUUUUGUUCUCUUAUCUUUUUUAUUUUAAUAUAUUACUUGUUUGACAUACUGCCUGUGGAGAUAUUUCUUAGGUGAAAUCAUAAUUUAGUUUUUUUAUAAAUAAUUUAAAUAUGUGAUAUAUAGUAUUUUUAGGCAUCGUUUGAGAUUAAUGUUGAAAUUCAGUAAAUUGCUUAUUUCAUAAUGGUGACAAAAAUAUUAUUUAAUAAAUUUUCUAAAAACUACUUAUUUCACAAUUUCUCCAUCUUGAAAGUAGCUUUUAAAAGUAGGUACGGGUUAUCUUUUAUAAACAGUUUAUUAUAUAAGCUACCACACCUUUUUAAAUUUCCUAUUAUAACCUUAAAAUUUAAAAUAAUAACUAUAUCUUAUUUUUUCAUACACCCUGGUAUAUAAGCCAUAAUAUCAUAUUAUCAUCACAAUCAAAUUAUAAAACUAUUGUGCAUUCUCUUCAGUAUCAAAAUUUUGAUCCAACAAGUUCAUUGGAUUUUAUUUAAUUGAGUUUUUUUUUUCUUUAUGUAAUUUUAUAUUUUUUAAAAAGAAAAAGAUAUGUCUAAAUAUUAUUAAACAUACUCCAAAAAAAUAAAAGGUAAUUUAAACUUAUAUCUAUUUUGGUCAUUAUAUAAUAAAACAACACGUUUGUAAUCAAAUUUACCGAACGCAUGUACAUUGCUUUUUAAACUCAAACUCACAACAAAUGCAACAAUAAAAUUUAUCAAAUACUAAAUUACUUUUUUAAUCAACAACUUAUUAUAUCUAGACAACAAGAGUAUCUUAUUUAAUCAACGACCACAAUACCAAACUAGUUCUUAGUCUAAUGAUAACUCAGUCUCUUCUCCAUUCAUGUGAGCAGACAUCAAACGUUAAAACUCUUAUUUUCAAUUCAAGAGGUUUUACUAUUUCAAUUAGAUGAUACCAUCUCAAAUUUAUGACAAUAUUAUCUUAACAGCAAGUAGAUCUUAUAAAUGAUCUUAACAGCAAGUAGUUCCUAUAAAUGAAAAAUGAAUAGCGUCUUUUCUUCUAUGCAUCCACAAAGUAGCAAGGCAAUGAGUCAUUUUUAUGCAUAUUCAGAUUCUUGCACGCAUAAUACAAUGGUCUCACAUGAAUAAUACAAUGGUUUAUUCACAAAUGAUGAUAGGUCCCUUGUCUGCUUUUUAGAUAUAGUUUUCUUUCAUUUUUAUUCAUAAAUAGGUAUCAAAAUCUUCAUUUGAUCUGGAAAAAAUAUAAGGAUAUAUUUUUAUUUAAAAGAUGGUCACAUAAUCUUUUUUGUAGGAUAAUUAUAUUCUUUAACUUUCAUGAUCUAAUUGUAUUUUAUCCAGACUUCAUCAAAAAAAUUAUAUAUAACUAUUUUUGAAAACAAGAAGAUCUUUAUAACAUAUUUGGAUUCAAUGUUGCUAACCUUCUAGAAAAAACAAUUGAUAGUUAUUGCAUAAUAAUAUAAAAUUAAUUAAAUCUUAACCAUAUAUAAUUAUAUAUAUAUACACAUGUGACAAAAGAUUAUGAAGAAUUGAAUACAAUUUAGCUCAGUAGUGGAUUUCAAUCCCUUCGUAACUGUUUCGCCAAACCACAAGAAUGUUGCAACUAUUUUUCUUUUUUUCUUUUUCUUAUAUUUUCCAUUUAGUAACAACUAAGUAACUGUACAUUCUAAUGAACACACCCGAAGGAUGUAAAUUUGAGAAAUUAGCGAAAAUAGCUAUAAAAGUUUAGGAUUUUUUAAUUUGACCCCUCAAAAUUUUUCCUAUCAUAACUAGCCAAAUGCUUGUUUUUUUUAACCAAAUAGUUCUCAUUACUUUUAAUAACUUUACCAACAGAUGGGUCCCUAUGAAAAAUCCAGAAAAAUCAGAACCUCAACACUCUCAAUUCUCCCAACAAAUCAUUAAACCCCAUUACUCUCAACAAAUAACCAAACCAGAUCAAACAAGUAUUACGUAACUGAAAAUAUAAUCAUCAAUUGCAGAGCUUCUUAGGAUUAAUGUAUGUUCUUACACAAAAGAAACUUUUAAUGUAUUAAGUUUAGGAUUUAGUUCGAAAUUGAUGUGCAUUUUGUUGUAAAUAUUGUUAUCUUCCAUCAUAAAACAAUGUGAUUUCUUAAUGUACUUAAUUUGAGUUGAGAAAUAAAACAAAAUCAUUGAAAAACAGGCCUAGAUUAUGUGCGACAGGAAAGUUCACGUGCAAGAAGUAGUGAGACAAGUGUCUAUUGUACAUAAACACAGCUGAGCAAAUGUUGGUGCGACAGGCACCUAUCGGACCAAAAGAUAGUUUCAAUGUGAUUGUCUUUUGGUGCUACAGGUGUUUGUUGCUCUAAUAUAUUUUGAUUUGUCUCAUCACCAGUUUCGAAAUAAUAUAUUAUAUAUUCAAAACGGACACAUAUAGUUUAAGUUAUAGCCUCUGAAAGAUAUCAAACACAUUUUACAUGACUAUCGCACAUACUGUGAUUAUAUAUGUUAGCCAGCUGUCUCACUGCCUGUUGCACAUGAACUUUCCUAGCCCACAUAAUCUAGGCUUGUUUUACCUCAAAUUUUUCUUGUUUUCAAUGAUUUUUUUUCCUCAACUCAAACUAAAGUACCUUAAGAAAUCACUUUGUUUUAUGAUGUAAAAUAAUAACAUUUACAAUAAAACUCACAUCAAUUUUGAACCUAAAUCUUAAACCUAAUACAUUAAAAGUUUAUAUUGUGUAAGAACAUACAUUAAGAACAUUCAUUAACCUUAAAAAGCUCUCCAAUUGAUGAUUAUAUCUUCAGUUAUGUAAUAUUUAUUUGAUGUGAUUUGGUGAUUUGUUGAUUUGUUGAGAGAGAUGAGGUUUGAUAAUUUGGUAGAAGUGUUGAGAGUGUUGAGGUACUGAUUUUUUCUGAAUUUUUUUGUAGGAGUGCCAUUUGUUUAUAAAUUUGUUGAAAGUGAUGAGGACUAUUUGGUUCAAAAAACUAGUAUUUGACUAGUUAUGAUAAGAAAAAAUUUGAGGGGUUAAAUAUAAAAAAUUCCAAAAUUUAUAUCUAUUUUGAUAAAUUUCCCUAAAAUUUAAGCUUUGGGCUUAACAAAGCCCAAGCCAGAGACCAGCAUGUUCUUCAAUUCAUGAUAUUAUGAACCAAUACUUACUAUGUAUAAUAUUAUUCUUAGAAUUUUUUUUAUUUCAUUCUUUUAUGUUUUAAAACCACCAGAUUUCUUCUCAUGUUAUAAUGAUAAACAACCUAAUAAACUCUAUAGAGAGCAACUUGCUCUCUAUUUAAUAGUUAAAUAUGAUAGUUAAAAAAUGAAUGAUUUCAAUACUACUUUUGAAGUAAAAAAAAUAUUGACAAAGCCCAAAAUAUUGUUAACAUUUAGGGUGUUCUAGUAAAUUUUAAAAAAGGAUAAGGAAACAAUUAAUUUUUUUUUGAAAUAAAUGGGGUUUGUGAUUGAUAUUGUUUGAAAUCAUAUUUUUGUAUUUGUUUUAUAAUGUAAAAAUAAUUAUUUUUGCGAAUUUAAAAAUGUAUUUCAUAGCUUGUCUCUAAAAUAGUAUUUGAAAAUGAAAACUUAAAAUCAUUUUUAGUUGUUUGUCUGAAAAUAUGAAGAUAAUAGAACUUAAAAAAAUUGUGUUAUAAUGCCAGAAUUUAAGGGAGUGUAUUAAAAUAUUAAAAAUAAAUUAAUAUGUUCUAAAAAAUAAAAAUAUUAAACAAAAUAACAUAGUAUUAUAUUUUUAGUAAAGUAAUUUGUCUACAAGUGCAAUUUAUCAAUGCGAAUGUAUUGGAUGAAAAUUUUUCGAUUGGAAACUAGAAAACUUAAGAGGGUGUAUUUGCUAUCAUUUUCUCUUAAGCAUUUUCACUAUACGAGUACAAAAAUUAAUUAAAUUUAUUUGGUUCACUAUUUUCUAAGAAAAUGUGAGGAAUAAAUCAUUUGUGUGUUAUUUUUUAUAAAAGACAUUGAAAAACAUUAAGUUAGUGUUCUCUAUAUUUUUUUGUCACUAAAGUCAUGCAUAUAGGGACCACAAACUAUCUUUGUUUUAUUUAUUUGACAAGUGACUAAUGUAAGGACCAAAUUUACUUUUCUUUUAGUUUAUGUCUAAAGUUAAUCACUUAUGUUAAUGAUUUAUGUCUUAACAAUAUGAGAAUUUUAAGAAAUACAAAAAUCUUUCAACUGUUAUGAAUUUAUUAAAAUAAACGUGAAUUUUCAUAACAUACAUCUCUCAGUCUCUUCAUUAUCUUCCAGUAGCAACCCUUGUCUUAUUUAUAAAUUCUACUAUCUUACAAAGAAUUAUAAUCCAUAGUGUUUCUCUCAUCUCUUUAUUUUGUACACACUUAAAAUAAAUAAAAUCAAUCUAUAAUAUAUUGCUCUUUUAUUUUACUCUUUAUCUUGUGUUGUUUCUUUAUUUUUCUAUUGCCGGCUAAAAACUUUUCUAAUACAAUAUGUUUGUAAUUUUAAGAAAGCUGGAUGAGAACUAUUUGGUUCAAAAAACUAGUAUUUAGCUAGUUAUGAUAGGAAAAAACUUGAGAGGUUAAAUUUAAAAAAUUUCCAAAAUUUUGUAUCCAUUUUGAUAAAUUUCCCUAAAAUUUAAGCUUCGGGAUUAACAAAGCAUAAGCCAGAGCCCAGCAUGUUCUUCAAUUCACGAUAUUAUGAACCAAUAGUUACUAUGUAUUAUAUUAUUCUUAGAAUUUUUUUAUUUUAUUCUUUUAUGUUUUAAAACCACCAGAUUUCUUCUCAUGUUAUAAUGAUAAACAACCUAAUAAACUCUAUAGAGAGCAACUUGCUCUCUGUUUAAUAGUUAAAUAUGAUAGUUAAAAAUGAAUGAUUUCAAUACUACUUUUGAAGUAAAAAAAAUAUUGACAAAGCCCAAAAUAUUGUUAACAUUUAGGGUGUUCUAGUAAAUUUUAAAAAAGGAUAAGGAAACAAUUAAUUUUUUUUUGAAAUAAAUGGGGUUUGUGAUUGAUAUUGUUUGAAAUCAUAUUUUUGUAUUUGUUUUAUAAUGUAAAAAUAAUUAUUUUUGCGAAUUUAAAAAUGUAUUUCAUAGCUUGUCUCUAAAAUAGUAUUUGAAAAUGAAAACUUAAAACCAUUUUUAGCUGUUUGUCUGAAAAUAUAUAGAGCUGAAAAAAAUUGUGUUAUAAUGUAAGAAUUUAAGGGAGUUUAUUAAAAUAUUAAAAAUAAAAUUAAUAUGUUCUAAAAACUAAAAAUAUUAAAUAAAAUAACAAAAUAUUAUAUAUUUAGUAAAGUGAUUUGUCUACAAGUGCAAUUUAUCAAUGCGAAUGUAUUGGACGAAAAAUUUUCAAUUGGAAACUAGAAAACUUAAGAGGGUGUAUUUGCUAUCAUUUUCUCUUAAGCAUUUUCACUAUACGAGUACAAAAAUUAAUUAAAUUUAUUUGGUUCACCAUUUUCUAAGAAAAUGUGAGGAAUAAAUUAUUUAAGUGUUAUUUUUUAUAAAAGACGUUGAAAAACAUUAAGUUAGUGUUCUCUAUGUUUUUUUGUCGCUAAAGUCAUGCAUAUAGGACAACAACCUAUCUUUAUUUUUUUUAUUCGACAAGUGACUAAUGUAAGGACCAAAUUUACUUUUCUUUUAGUUUAUGUCUAAAGUUAAUCACUUAUGUUAAUCAUUUAUUUCUGAACAAUAUGGGAAUUUUAAGAAAUACAAAAAUCUUUCAAAUUAAACAGUUAUGAAUUUAUUAAAAUAAAUAUGGAUUUUCAUAACAUACAUCUCUCAAUCUCUCCACUAUCUUCCACUAACAACCCUUGACUUAUUUAUAAAUUCUACUAUCUUAAAAAGAAUUAUAAUCCAUAGUGUUUCUCUCAUCUCUUUAUUUUGUACACACUUAAAAUAAAUAAAAUCAAUCUAUAAUAUAUUGCUCUUUUAUUUUACUCUUUAUCUUGUGUUGUUUCUUUAUUUUUCUAUUGCCGGCUAAAAACUUUUCUAAUACAAUAUGUUUGUAAUUUUAAGAAAGCUGGCCAUUUCUUUUCUCUAAUAGGAGUUAUAAGAACGCCAUUCAAAAUGCAAUACCAAAUGCUGAAAAAUGAGAAUGAUUCAUUCUCGCGAAAUACAAAAACCAGUGAGCAAACGCAUUUUACACGAUUUUGUUUUUGGAAAACGGAAAACGCCAAAACAAAACCAGUACCAAACUCACCUUGUUUAAAAUCCUAAAAUUGUGUCGCCAAGGACUGCUUACUUUGGAACACGGCGCGGCCCCAGAACUGCCGUCGUUUUGGUGUUCUGAAGUGUGAAGAUAAACACGACGACCUUUUUCGUGAAUCCCUGAGGCAUCAUAAAACGAAUCAGCUGAGGCGUUCUUGUUCUUCUCCUUUUCAGUAAGGAGCACGAGCUGGUGAGUGAAUUCUUUCAACUGAACGAAAUUCAAUUACAUUAGUAUUAUCUGUAAGUUUUCGUUUUCGAAGAUGUAUGGAUUAUUCUAUAGAAGUAAUCGAAGGCUAUCACUAGCACAAGUGUUAUCAAGUAGUAAUAGGUCUAUUGCGCAAGAUUUAGCCACCUCUUAUUUGGAUUUGUUUUCUGGUUUGGGUUUGAAAGUUCAGAACGCAAGGUUGUUUAAUCCUUUUGGCGUUAAGUUAUUCUCAACUGAAGACGAACAAAUUAAAAGGAAAGUGCCAAAAGAAUGCUCAUUUACGGUGUCAUGCCUCAUAAACUCACGUGGGUUGUCCCCAAAAAUUGCAAAAUCUGUUGCCGAAAGAGUAAAGCUUCAAUCUUCGAAACAACCAGAUUCAGUCCUUCAAUUUU